rnacentral:lncRNA from 1 species
CCGCGGCGCGGGCGGCCGCCGACGACGGCCGCAGGCAGGCCGGCGCCGACGAGUCGCUCCGCAAGGCCAUGUACCUCAGCUGCUGGGGCCCCAGCUGAGAGGAUAAGGCCGUUUUGUGAAUGUGACGGGGCGGCGGAUGGGUGGGACAGGCGGUCGGUGUAGGGGCCUCGGCCUUUGCGGAUGCUCAAUGGCCGGACCGGGCCUGCUGGGGCCUUUGAUGAACUCGCGAUCGCGAGAUGCGUUGAGGGGUUCGGUGAUUUGGGAUUAACAUCUGGGAAAUUUGUGGGAUCAUCAAAAGGGUUACUGUACUGUAAUCUUGUACAUAUGCUUCCUGUAGAUAUCGAAUGGAACUAGGGAAAAAGAAAAAAAAAAUCUUUCGGCUACUUUCUCUCUGGAACUUUCGAUCGAUUAGUCAGAGCAAACGCUGUCGAGUUUGAGCGAUUAGAGCUCUCUGCCAAAGUGCCAAGUGUCCAGCGUCGAGCAACCAUGUCAAAACGAAGGGCGGGAGCGGAGUUCGUGUCGCUCCGGCCCGGGCAUCACAAAUUCACAAGGAUUUUGUAUAUAACAACUUUUUAAGUUCGUCGAUCAAUCACGUAGCCGGCAUCCUGAUGGAUCGGCACAGCAACGCGUUGAGUUGAGCCCGGCGCCGGCCGAACAGACUGCUACGAGCCCAUGACCAGGCAGCACUUCGGCGAACGCCGAUCUCGGCUUCAAACUCUGAAGUUCAGGCGGGUUCCGUUCCUACCGCAGAUAAUUUCAGGCAAGCAAGCGGCUCGAUGGACCGAUGGCCGGGCAGGGGACGGGACGUACGCGAUUACCCACACCGCACGAGGACGUCGCAGAGGUGCGCCUCCCGCCGCCCGAACAGGUCGCAGCUGCCCCAACCGUUGGCCGCACGGGUUCAGAGUUCAUCGGAGAAGUCGGCCGCACGGGCACCAACCGUUUUGGCGCAGAUCCUAAGGUCCGGUAAGGCCUGGCAACGCAGCCGCGAAUCCCCUAGUCGAUCACUCGCCGUCCUCUCCUCGAUUCGUCACCACUCACCCCGCGCGCAUCAUUCCUUCGCGAGCCGCGCGGCACCGGAGCUCGACACGGCGACAGGAUCGCACCGGGGAGAGCGAGGCAGCGAGCGCGAGGGACAUGCCGCGACAAGCGACGGAUAUGAUUGACUCGCGUCGGACAACGAUGCGGAGCUGGAGCCUGACGCGGUUGGCUUUUGGCCUGCGCCGGCUUUUUCACGUGGUGUCACGUGACGCUGGGCCACCGCGGUCGCGUCCCGGGACGGGUGGCGCGACGCGACGCGACCGAGUGACGGAAACGAAGCAUGGGCGAGAGAGAGGGCAAACGACGCGACGGGACCCCCACGCCGUGGUCUCCAGGACGCGUGCUCGCGGCCGGUGCAUGCACCGCGCGUGCGCCGUCGCUCCAGCUCCUGCAAUACGUCCGGAGAGCCAAGAGUGGGAGCAAGAUUGCAAGUCUGCAAGAGCAAGUAAGCAACUCUCACUCAGCGGCUGGCAUCAUGCGUGCCGUCAUUGGCGGAGGCCGGUGGCCGUAGCGGCUCUCCUUAUCUCCUACGUUCCUGGGCUGGCAGUGGCAGGAGUCGACGAAACUUGCGUUGGCAACGACUCCAACCGCGGCGUACGUUGAUCCGGCACACCACGUGCCCUCAAUUUAGGCGUCGUGGAGAGGGUUCUAUAGCGUGCCUACCGCCUAGCUCUAGCCGAACCGUAUACGAAUCGUUCCACAAGCUUCCAAUGCUCCACGAAGCAUAUGAUAGGAAAAGAGGGUGCAAGACCUCAGGCCUGAUGUAGUGAUGUUGUGUGGGAUCGAACCUACCUGGAAGCCUGGAUAACCAUGAUUUUUAUACGGUAUCAAAGUUAACAUGAUUCUGAAACUCCCAAUCCAUCCAACUAACGAACGAGUGAGAGAUUUUUAGAAGUAAUCUCUUCUCGUUUAUAAAGCCCAACAGGCUAUAGCCCAUGUGCUAUUUCGAAACUCCUACGCACAGCCAAGAAACACCACGUACCCAGAGAAAUAGGCCCAUAAAAGAGGUGGCACCCGCAGCCCAUUAACCACCACGCAUCGCGCGCGGAUAUGAGAAGCCCAUGCCCAUAUUCACAACAGCAGAAGAACUGAAGAAGUGACGAACAUCCUCCCAAAGAAUACCGACACUCCAACAGCCUCGACAUCAUUAGACCAUUACCUCCAAUCGCAAUAUAGUACGUGGUAGCAGUAGAGUAAAAGAAUACUGUGCUCAGGUUUGCAUCUAACCACCGUGCGAUAAUCGCCUACAAUACCCACGCCAAUCAAACGCUGCGUACAAAGAAUAUCACGCACGCCGCCGGCCGCACCACCAACGCGAGCCGUGCAUCACACAUCCACACAGCUCAGACGUUGUCGGGCAGGUCGAAGUGCUGGACGCCGAGCACCUGCAGCGCGGCGUUCUGGACGAAGAGGACAACGCCGCACUUGGCGGCGCGGAAGCCGUCCCAGAGCGGGAACUGGACGGUCCCGGACACGGACUUCUUCGCGGAGGCGCCCUCCCGCACCGCCGCCACCUUCUCCAGGCGGCGCACCACGUGGUCGUUCAGCAGCGACUUGCCCUUGUUCUCGCCGCGCCCGCAGUCCGUCACCAGCCCGCUCUCGUACAGCGCCACCAGCACGCUCGCGCCGCCGGCGCCCUCCACGCGGCUGCGCAGGGUGCCCGUGAACGACGCCUGCAGCGUCGUCGGGUUCGGCCGCUGGAACGUCGCCUGCACGUUACGUAACGUACGCGGAUCAGAUCAGAUCAGGUCGAGGUUUCAACGGUGCAUCUACAGUGACAUUGACACCGCAUCUACAGAACCCAUAUGUAUCCGGUAGAUAUGAAAUACUGUUCAUUGCAGAUCCGGCAUAAGAACAGUGGCUGAUGAGACGUUCCACAGCAACAGGCAAUCAGAUAUCCUGGUUGUCGCUUCUUAAAUUUGCAGACCGCUUUGAACACUUUCUACAUGGCAACAGGAUCGGAUGUGCAAGGAAGUUGUAAUUACAGUACCUUCAUGGCGGGCGCCGGGUAUCGCGGCGCGUCGCGGACGCCCUGCGCGAGCGCGUCCUGCUCGGUGCCGACGCAGUGCGCACGGCCCUGCACGACGACCUGCGGCGUGAAGAGCGUGUCGAGGCGGAGCGCCUCCACGUAGGCCUUCUGGCGCACGGUCCAAGCGCUGGACGCGAAGGGGUCCUUCCACCCGCUGUGGUCCCAGUAGUCCACGUGGAACGCCAGCACCACCACGGCCGGCCCGCCGCCGCCGCCUUCCUGCUGAGCCGCGGAAUCCUGCGCCAGCCGCGCCGCCACGGCGUCGGCCUCGGGCGACGCCCCGCACCCCUGCGACGCGAACAGCUCCAACAACACCGGCCCCGGGGCUACCUGCUGCUGCUGCUGCUGGUCCUCCUGCUCGUCCGGCGCCGACGCCGUCGCGCCGCCCCUCCGGCCAAAGCACGCCAGCAGCCGCGGCGCCAUCGAUGGUUGUAGGCUAGCUAGUAUCUGCCUUAGCUAGCGAGCUGCCGGCGCCGGCGGUAGUGGUGCAGCUGGCGAGGGAACGUCGUGGCGAAGGGAAUGAGGGGAGAUCAAGUGACGAGCUCGCUCGCGUGGUGGCGUGUAGCGGGCAAGUAGUAGGUGUCCCGGACGGUAUGGUGUGUGGUGGCCUGGUGGGAUAGAUGAUUGGUGGGUGGAACUGAACGUGGCGGUGGCGACGGCAACAGGACACCAGCCUGUCAGCACGCAACCCCUCUUGGUGUUGGAACUUCGCCGGCUGGCCGCCAUGUGUGUGUUCGUGCCCGCCUAACCUCCCAGCUCCAGCCUCUUCUUUACUUUGUUUUCUCGCAUUCUACCUUUUCCGCCGCAGACUUUGCAUUUCUAAAUCUGGUUUCACCGGUUCAGUGCGAUCCGUGAACAGAUUAUUCUGUGGCCAUGUUCCUUUGGGGAAUGGAAGGAGGAAGAGGAGAACCCGCUUUUGCUUUCACGAUCGGCGCGAUGCUUUGCUUGGUCCGGUGUGUUUUGUGGGCGCGGCCGCGGCGGGCACCGUGUCGGCGAGUGGUUGGAUCCGCCGCCGGGGUGGCUGUAAUUUUUUAACAUACAAACAGCAAGACCACGUUUGAGCCGCUGCUGAAUGCUAAUCAAUCAUUGCCACUAGAUUACAGUAGUAGCCAGUCGUGCGUCUAUUACGUGUAUGCUGGUUGGGGUUAGCAGACGAGCCUACAAAGUACAGACAGUGCUGUGGGUGUCGCUGAGGCCUGCUGCUUAUUUUUAAGCACCCGUUACAUCGAUGUUUACAUACUAAUUAGAAGUAUUAAACGUAGACUAUUUACAAAACCCACUACAUAAGCGGAGGCUAAACGGCGAGACGAAUCUAUUAAGCCUAAUUAGUCCAUAAUUUGACAAUGUGUUGCUACAGUAAAUAUUGGCUAAUGAUGGAUUAAUUAGGCUUAAUAGAUUCGUCUCGUCGUUUAGCCUCCACUUAUGUAAUGGGUUUUGUAAAUAGUCUACGUUUAAUACUCCUAAUUAGUAUCUAAACAUUCGAUGCGACACGUGCUAAAAAUAAGCAAACGGAAACCAAACAGCCCCUUACACGUUCGCUGAUCCUGCGUGAUCGUCACGGUGCAGUUCGUGGAGUUUUGUGUCGAUCAGAUACCGACAACGGCUGGCUUCGACACUAUGAAACUUGCGGAGACAGCGAUCGGAUUUUAAUUGGCGUGCGCUGGCGAGUGUGGCCGUGCACCUGAUCGUACAUCGACGUCCGACCUGAUGAUUGUCACCGACUCGCCGUCGGCCGAACCUGUCGGCGGCGGGCCUGGCAAAAAUUAUCGAGACUUAUCUCUGUUUUCUUCUGUGGGUUGGCUGGCAGCCUGGCGCCCGUCCGCUCUGUUAAAUGGGCCGAUUAUUAAUACCUGGGCUGGCCUGCACUGGUAAGUUAAUGGGCAGCAGGCCUGUUUAAAACUCAGUCCAACAACGCCUUUGGUUCUCGGCCUUUCUCUUUCCAGAAGCAGGUUCAUGUUGGGUCGAGAGGAAGGAACAAGGCUCAAACGAGGCCGAUUUGGGACAGCCCACAAGACUCGAAAUGGGUGGUGGUGUUCCCGAGUCAAGGGACUGAUGUUUGCAUGCUCAACGAGGCUCAUCAAGCCCACCUAACAUUCUGCGUCAGUCGUUUUGAAUUAAAGAGAGAAAAAAUGGAGCCCUCUUCCAUCCUCCACGUCUUUGGUAGCCUUCAUGCCUCUAGUUCGGGGAACCAGGGUCCGACGUCCGCAUGUAUAUACGCCUUCCUAAUAAGUAACUUUUGGGUAGGUUAGUUUGCCCAUGGCAGGGUUAGUGUUGCAUUCGGGUAUUUGUCGUUGAUGGCAUCCUCUGUGAUGAAAAUCCCCUGUCGCUUAGCAUCAAGGUACGUCUUCCAGUUCCUGAUGGAGUUGGAACUGGGUUGGUGUGUAACAGUGUAAGGAUCCUCUUCUUUAUUCUUUCAUUGCUCGUCUAUCGGAUUUUGCCAUCGUGGCGACAUGCAUCUGUUUCUGAUCUUUGUGAUGAUUUUACAGGCGCCCAUACGGUGGAACCUUCGGUAGUUCAAGUAUUCAGCCACUUGGUUGUCGUGCCACCGUUGCCCUUUCAUCAAUUGAAGCUCCUUCGUCCGCUCGGGCCUCGGGAGCUUGCUUCCAGCCUCUCCCUCGGUGCUCUACUCUGCUGCCUGCGAAGGGGAAGUGCCAAGCAGAGGCGGAUGUGCUGACCGGACAAGCAUGAGUUCGUUGAGAGGUUCACUCUGCAAGUGACCGGUUGUAAAGGUAUUGUUUUCAUAUAUAUACCCCAUCACUUAUAAAAAGAUCAAAGUUUAGGGGAUCCAACCCAAUAUUUUUUAAAAAAUAAACAGACUGGACUAGAAAGUCGUUUGCCCCCAUCACUGAUCAAAGUUUCGAGCGCGUGCACCGUGCACGUUCGUCCACUCCGUCCAAGUGGGAGUCGCCGCCGACGGGUGACGCAUGCGUAUCUGCGGAGCGCGGAAACUUUGGCCCGGGCUCCACCGCGGUUUCCACCAGCUGUACGCCGUCGUGGGACGACCGACUCCCCCCGGCCACGGCGCCGGUCCGCCGGACCCGCUGUGGCGCUGUCACAGUCCGCGGCCCACACCGUGCCGCACUUCCGCACUUGCCUCCGCCCCCGUAAUCCGCACGGUCGGUGGGCGUCGCCGAGCCCACCCGCGGACCAGCCCGAAGCCCCGAAUCAAUUCCGUUCCAGGUGCUGGCUGAGUCACCGGGUGCUUGACUUCCACGGCUUCGGAGCACACGCGGCGGGGCCUCUGAAUUCGCAGCUUCAACGAAGACAGCGUCAUUAGUCCUCGCAUUGCCAAUGCCAACGUUUCCGUCUGAUCCAGUGUUGACGAAACCCAGCUCCGGGCACAUCCAAAAGCGGCGUAAACCUGUGCCUAUCCGAUGGAAGAUCGAGGAAAUUCGUGCGCAGCCGGCUUUGAAUUUUGUUGCGCUCAUUCUCGCUCAAGCCAGACAUGCAUCAUGUGCUGGCACGUCUGCAUGCAACCUAGCCAGCCUCCUACACUGUGGGGGUCGUUGCUGAUCCGUCCCAUGCGUGUACCACAUGCGUGCACCGCUGUGCUGCUGCUGUCCUAGGCCGUUGCAGGGGAGUCAGCUCCAGCGCGCGCCAACGCGCGCACCGUCCGUCCUGCAGCUCCAUUGGGGCUAGCUUGGAAGGCACACCAAAGGCCAGGUCACGAACCCGUGAUGUGUGUGGAUAUGGUAGCACGUAGCAGCGAUACGCUGACGGAACGGGCCCGUCGCCGCCCAACGAUGAGAGCGAUCGUGAACGCGAGCGAAACGCGCGGCCGGUGGCGCGUCCCCGAAUCGGAUCCUGUCACGUGUGGCAUGCGCGCGUACCCGGAAGGAAACUGGUGGCGGUAGCUGGUAGAUGCUGCCUGCUGGCCACGGCCGGGAUCGAUCACUUUACACGUCCGCCGGGAGAGAAAACAAAGGGUUAUCCACAAAUUUAUCCGGAUCACAUUUGCGUAAUCCGGCGCAGCAGCGCCGAGCCAACAACCACCUUUCGGGCUUGCCGAUGGAUCAGAUUAUUUUACGGGGGUGGACUGGUGCAGCGGAUUCGCAGGUUUUUCCUGGAAAAAGUUGUCGCGCACAUCGCGGCCGCGUGCGCGCAAUUAAUAAUCCGCGCUAAUCUAAUCCAGAACGGCCGGGGCGACGCACAUCGCUUUCCCGCUACGACGAGCCCGUGACGCUAGCACGUCGCGGUCGCUCGAAAUCGCCCGCUAGUCAUAUGAUCUCGCGGGCCUAGCUAGCUCUCGAGCUGGAUCUGGUCUGGUGGUGUUCUCUAUGGGGUCGUAAUUGCGUUGGGCUUCUUUCGAUCCGCUCUCGCCCGCUUUUCCGGAUCGAACACGUGGGAACUGAGGAAAAGCGCCUGGGCCCCGGAUGAGACCGAAUCAGGCGUGGAUAAGACGACAGAUUAGCAGUAGUAGCAGAGCAUGGAUGAGGGAUCGCCGAGUUGGUGGCUCCAUUUGCCUGCCUUUGUAUUUACUUCCGCCACGCUCUUCUUGUUCCUGAUUCUGUGAUGUAGCACUGCUUCUGUCGUGGAUAAGACGGAGACGCGCUCUUUUUCGACAAUGUUUUGUGGGUUAGGACGUGCUCGGUGUGUGUGGUUACAAAGAAAACGAUGGAUAAAGAUCCUGAAUGAGGUUGUCAGCAUGGUUAAUUGCCACAAUAAACACACGCUAGUGGCGCCACAUGAAUUUCCUUGAAAUUUUUACCGCAUUAUGUUCCUGUUCGUUGCGCACAAUAGCAUGCAGAAUGGGAAAACCAAGCCACGCCAUCCUUUGAGGCCACCAGCUUAUAUUUGUUAGCUCGUUGUUUAGGCGGGGUAGAAGAGUAUUCUCUAGCUUGGUAAUUGGUAUCUUUUUUCGUGGUUUGUGUUCACCCGCCGGAUUUGCAUGACAAGCCAAGCAGAGUAAUAUGCAUUUCUUAAACGGGAAACUGAAAUUUUUAGAGCGCGUUCAUUGCAGAUAACGUUCAGGCAAGAUUAAAGUGUAAGCGUUCAAGAUCUUAUUUGGAUCCAUCCAUCCAAAAUUUAGCUAGCUGAAUUUAUGGAUGUUUGGAUCCAUCAUCUUAAUAAUUAUUAAAGAGAUAUUUGUUUAUCCUGUACUGCAAUUCUGGUAACAAAGUAAAGGACCCGUCAAACUUGCCUGGCCUGCACGGCGGCCGGUCGACGGUGUCGAUUUGCUUGCGUCUAUUUCUUUUUGAUCGGUUGUAGAUGUGCUCUGUUAAUUGGAUGUUCCAGGGGUUUGGAUGGGAAUUUGGUUUGCUGGUUCGGAUUGAAAUAAAUAGUGUCUGGUGUAUGUAGAAGCGUCAGCGCGGCAUUCUCUUUCAGAACCAUCGCCGCUCUAGACCAGAGAGAGGGACGAGGAAGUCUCUGGACAAUGUUGCUAACUGACGGGCCUGUUCUGACCGUGCGAUUAAUUAAGGAUAGUGAAUGGACGACGCAGAUCAGUAGUCGACGUGGCACAAUGGGCGCUCGAGAAAGGCCCAAUUGCCUGACCGAGAUUCGUCUAUUAGAGAUCGUACGUCUUAGUCUACAAGCAUGGUUAACCUGCUCUUUUGGAUGAUCGAAAUGGCUCACCAACGUCGUCGACCUGGCGCAGGUUCUAGAAGACAGCUUGCGGAUCUGUCAACAACAGGCACAGCUAGUAGUUGAGGGCUUCAGGCAGUGGAUAACGCAUAAAGCACAGCGUAGUAGUCCGGGCGUACGCCUAGUCCUACCUGACGGAGCCGGUGGUUCGGCCGCGUGUCAGCGUGCCGUGGUAGCGCGGCAGAGCCGGCGCGGAGGCUGACGGCGUGAGGUGGCGUUCAUGAUGCUGACGGCGUCGUUAUCCCAUCCAUCCAAUUCUAAUAAGCAGGGUGCUUCAGAGAUUCAUCGAACACGACACCCCCAGGAUUAGCCCUGUUAAUUGGGUUGGGUUUAUUGGUUUUAAUGGUUUGGUUUAUAUAAUAAGUUCAUUUGAAUUGGUUUAUAAUGAGUUGGCCUGCUAGAUGGUUUGGUUUGGUUUGGGUUUUACAAAUAAAUAGUUUGGAAGGUGUUUGGGGUGUGUGGUAUUAUUUUUGGAUCUAAAAGACUCUCAACCCGUGGGUUGAGACCCAUUAAGAACCCAAAAGCCUGGAGCCUCAUCUAUCAAGAGUCGGACCCUAAAAAUAAAACCUCACGUUCACACCUUAAAAUUUUGGAUAAAUUGAUCGAAACUUGUUACAGAUGAAUUAGUUUAACAGUCCGCUACUGUAUGCAAAGCAGUACGGCUGGACUUACAUGUGGGGCCCGCGUCAAGAGUCGGACCCUAAAACUAAAACCUCGUGUUCACACCUUAAAAUUUUGGAUGAAUUGACCGAAACUUGUUGCAGAUGAAUUAGCUUGACAGUCCGCUACUUUGUGCAAAGUAGUAUGGCUAGACUUACAUGUGGGCCCCACGUUGAGAGUCACAUACAAACUCAAAAAAAAAAGUUAACUAAUGGGUUUUUAUUGGGUACCUAAUGGGUUCUUAUUGGGUUGUAACCAUAUUUGGCAAGUAAUUUGUAUAACUUAUGCAAUAGUAAGUUUGGGGUGGUGUGGUGUGUGAUAGUGGAGGUUUGGUUUAGGGUGGGUUAUAUUUAUUUUCUUAUGAGAAUAGAUUGGUGUGGUUACAACAUGGGUUACAACCCAAUUAACAGGGUGACCCAGGAUCCACGUGAUGCCACACAAAAAUGGAGAAAGAGAAAGGAAAGAGGAGAAGAAACAAGGGCUCGCGUUCGAUCAUUCAUGUUCUGAUGCUCGUUGGCCUUCCGCAGAUUCUUCGCCAGCUGAAGGCAAAUCGUAGGCAGCUCCGUGACUGAUUCUCGGAUACCGCGGUGCAUUUUCGUCGCCUCAUAAUCUACUUAAGCGCGAACGAUUUCUGAAGAAAUUUUCAUCGCCCAGCGAAAAGAUUUUUCCAGAGAGUACAAGGUGGGUACACGCCAAAAGCCAUUGCGCUGCUAAACGGGCACAUGAUCAGCCGACAAAGGCACACCAGCUUGUUGCCGCCAUAUGGCUGAUUUUGAAAUCGCCCGCAUGUUUAAACGAAUAGAUUUUGCAGCCCUGGAAUUCCAGAACUCUCAUUUUAAAAUCUCAUGCUCGCUGAUCUUGAUCACCGUGUGAAAUCAAUCAAAACACCGCAUUUUUUUAAAAAAAAAUCUUUUGGACAUGCAAACGUGCCAACUUUAAUUGCUGUGGAUCAGAAAGUCAGUACUCAGUACCCUGUAGUCAGCAAGAGUCCAUGCGCACGGAGAAAGGCAGAGUUUUAAUUUGCAACUUGCAUUCAUAUACUUCGAUUUGAUCCAAUCCAUACCCCACAAAGAAAAAAGAAGACAGGGGACGAAGACCAGUUGACUGUUCGUCAUCAUCCAGUCAUCCUACCUACUGCGAUGAUUAUAAUACGGUGAAUCUUAAACCAUUUUAAAUUUCCCGCUAAACCCGAAGAAUAAAGCCGUAUGAGUAAAUUAUUGCCCGGCCGACACCGUCAGCAGCGAGCGACGUCCCAGGCGUCACGGGCUACUGCAUGCCGGCGAGCUUGCCGUUGCCGUUGGCACCGCCGCGCAUCUCGAGGUCGGCGCCGACGUGCACGUCCUCGUCGCGGAUGAAGCGGCCCCAGUACCAGUGGUUCUUCCACACGAGCACCAUUUCCUCGAUGGGCACGUUCUUGGUCUCCGGCAGGAAGAGCGCGACGAAGAUGGUCAUGACCACCACCCAGGCGCCGAAGAAGAAGAAGAGGAUGAACUUGAAGCGGCAGAGCAUGGGGAGGAACGCCUGCGCGAUGAUGAAGGUGCAGAGCAUGUUGACGGACACGUUGAUGCUCUGCCCCGCCGACCGGAUCUCCAGCGGGAAGAUCUCGCUGGGCACCAGCCACCCGAGGGGUCCCCAUGACCAGGCGAACCCGGCCACGUAGGCGCAGAUGAAGAGCACCACGAUGGCGGCGUACGCCUUGGGGAUCUCCGCCACGCCGGAGAACCCGAACUUGGCGCCGAUCAGGCUACCGACGACGAUCUGGCAGGCGAGCAUCUGGGUCCCGCCCUGCAGGAACAGCUUGCGGCGGCCGAGGCGGUCCACGGUGACGAUGGAGACGAAGGUGGCGAAGACGUUGACGAGCCCCGUGAUGACGGCGGACAUGAGGGAGGCGUCGUCUGCGAAGCCCAGCGUCUUGAAGAGCACCGGUGCGUAGAACAUGAUGACGUUGAUGCCGGUGAGCUGCUGGAACAUGGGGAUGGCGAUGGCCAUGACGAGCUGCGGCCGGUAGCGCGGCUGCAGGAUAUUCCGCCACGGGUGCGCCACGAGCUUGGACUCCUCGCUGGCGGCGACAAGGUCGUUGUACUCCUCCUCCACGUCCUCCGUGCCGCGCACGCGCUUGAGCAUCCGCUUGGCGGCGUCGGUGUAGCCGCGGUCGAUGAGGGAGUUGGGGGUGUCGGGCAAGAACAGCGCGCCGAUGGCGAUGAUGGCCGCCGGCACCGCCGCCAGGGCCAGGCUCACGCGCCACCCCCAGCCGCCCUUGAUCUUGGCGGUGCCGUAGUUGAUGAGGUUGGCGCACAGGAUGCCGAUGGUGAUCAUGAGCUGGAACCCGAUGUUGAGCAUCCCACGGAGGCGCGCGGGGGCCAUCUCCGACAGGUACACCGGCACGGCCUGGUUGGCGAAGCCGACGCCGAUGCCGAGGAGGACGCGGCCGAGGAUGAGCAUGACGACGUCCUUGGCGGCGCCGUUGAGGGCCGCGCCGAUGAGGAACGUGACGCCGCCGCCGAACAUGGACCACUUGCGCCCGGCCACUCGCGUCACCGUGGCGGCGAAGAAGGAGGCCACCAACGCGGCGAGGUAGAGCGAGGAGGUGAACAUGGUCAGCAGCUGGCUGUCGAACUUGCAGUACUGGUUGGUCUGGUUCCGCUCCGCCUCCUGCUCCUUGCGGUACACCGACGGGAAGAACUUCAUCAGGAACGGGUUCAUCGACGUCACGCCACCUGAUCAUCACGAACAAACGUCAGUUUUUUUUUGCUUUGCCACUGAUUUUUUGCUUCUAAGACUAUUCUAAUUUUCUGAAGGAAUGAUCUGAGGUGAUGUUUUUUGUUUAUUUGGAAAAAAGAAGGCUAGGUGAUGCAUGGAAAGAUUCUUCUUGGCUUUGCGAAAGAAUCUGGGAAACCAAAUAAAGAAAAGGCGGGGGAAUAUCGCAGUUUUGUUUGUAUGUGUAAAAUCAUGCGUCGGGUCUCCCGACAGCACGGUAGGUGAACUGCGCCCGAGAAAAUACCCUGAUUUGCAAGAACAGAGCAGCGUGCGAGAUGCAAACAGAGAGUGUGUUUUCUCUCUCUUUCUAAUCAUAGCCAUGAUUUUUUUUUUGAAAAAGAUCAGGAACAGAAGAACAUCGCAGAGGGACGGGAUGCGUAGCUUACCAGAGAUGCCGAUGUCAUAUCCGAAGAUGAGGCCGCCGGUGGCGGCGACGAUGCAGGCGAAGAGCACGAACAUGGUGAGCUUGCCGGGGUAGUCCUUGCCCCCUCCGGUGUUCACCACCACGCCGCCGGCCAUGGCGACUGCCCAAUACUCAAACCACAAACACACAAAGCUUUCGCCUCACACGAUCACAGGCUAGCUCCACACAGAAGACUUCACGAAAGGCCUAUGCCAAGAGGAAAAGAAUGGAAGUGCUCGUGAGCGCCCGGAGAAGAUGGGAACGUCUGCGAGUUCAGAGGCGAACGGAGGCAGCGUUGAUUGUUGAGACGGGGGAGGAGCGGGCGGGCAUUUAUAGGCGGGGCGAGGGGCCUCCAUGUGAAUGGGCGACGAGCUGGAGGGUGAGACUGCCAGGGUGGGGCCAACGCUCCCUCCCGCCCGCGCUUGUUUUUCCGUUCAUUAAUUGUGGCCGUGGAUAAAUCUUUAUCCCAGCUACCGGCCCCACCACCCCCGCUUCUUCCUUCCUGGAAAGACCCAGCGGCCAUUAAUGUGAACACGGCGCCGGUGCAGGCGCGCCAGCUGCUUUCCGCUCCCGGCGACGGCGGGGAGGAGGGUCGCCGUUCGCCGCCGUCCACCGCGAGAACGCGUGCGUGUACACGCUCGAGAUGGGCUGGCGGUGUUAUCCGUUCCGUUCCCGUUUUCGCUGCGAAAUGUAAACGUGCAGUGGAUAACGGCAUUAUUAGGUUCGAGGGUAGAAGAACAGUUAGCGGGGGGAUCUCCUGCUGUGCUGUGUCUGGAUUUCUGGAGUCACACCUGCUGAUGACUCGGCGACAGGUCAUGCAGGCUCCAUGCGUAGCGUAGCAGCGUUAAUGGCGAAUCCGAUUCUUGCUGAUCAAGUUCCUCGAUUGUGGUUUAAUUUGGCAGGGUGGGUAGGUGCAUGCCGUUGCCUUCCUCAUGGGAGGUGAGGUACGCUUGCUGACGUGGAACCGGCUGUGCAAGUGUUGAGCACAUGUGGAUGGGUCAACGGCUCAACGCUGGUCCAAAUUAAAACAGAUGAAACUGAUUAACCAGGCUGCGGCAUGGCAAAUUUGCGCAAAGAAAGAACCGAAUAAAAGGGUUCAGUUUUCUCUUAGGUUAUGGGUCUUGAUCUAAACGAUGAUGUAGAUUCUUAGGUUAACCAUCAUAACUCGACGAAAUCAGAUAAUGGAAUGCGGCGUUUUAUGAUCAAGCCGUGACAUGCUAUGCUGACCCACAAGAUCCAAAGUGCGCAACUUGGCUGCAUUCACCGAACACAUGCUCGCUCGGCGGCCACGGAAGUUGGGACUUGGACGGAAUGAUGGAGGCAUUGUUUAACACAAGCGCGAGCACGUCGCAGUCAUCGUGGGCGAACAGUGCCCCGGGACUGGCUCGGCCGGUCGGCUGCGUACCCGUCGGACAGCUAAUCUGCUAGCUCGGACGACCAUGGCCUCAUCUACUAUCUCCUUGGUCCGGCGCCGACCGGUGCGCCAGCACGUAUAUACUAGUACAGAAAAGCCAUCGAGCCAGACACGGCGAACCGCCGCCAACGGCGUUUUCUCCGAUCCGGGCACAUGUUAGGAACGAUCUGCCUGAGAUAUUUCUCCUUUUCGUACUGGCUCCCGCCGCCGUGGUGGUGUGCGUGCGUGGCGUCGUCACGCCACCACAUUACUGCGUUCUCGUCGCUGGAGUCGGCGGCUUCCGGCGGAGUCAAAGGAGGGUGCGGCAGAGGCGCGCGGGCGCUCGGGGCUAGCUGGCCGGACCGCGCCGGGAGCCGGUGCGGGCAAAGCUAGGCCGCAGGUGUGGGAUCGCUGGGAUACGCUAGCUUGCAGCCAUGUCGACGUCGCCGCAUCGCGGACGCGACAAGGACGCCUCCCAUUUGUACCGGUCCCGUCCGGCCUGUAGCCCGGUAGCAUGCGUGAGUAAUGCCAAGCGCCGGUCACGAUCCUAGGCUCACUAAUGGCUUGCUGGGUAAUGGCAAGCUAACUGCUAUAAUUUGGUCAAAGGGAUGCCGAUCUCGACGGUCGGAGCAAGCUAGCCUGGUCCACGGAACUACGGCGCCCAUGUCGGUCUCUGUGGGAACUAGGAAGGGCAUGCCAGUAGGAGUGCAGGAGGCAACCGCAAGUACACAAGGCUAAGAAGAAGCUAAGCACAUGGGACGGGACGGGGAAGGCGGAAGGCAGGCCUGCGAUCCGAGUCAACGAUCGACUGGGAUACGCGAAGAAGACGGGCCAGCCAUGCCAUGGUUCCGAGCAAGAGGGGGGAGGGAGAGGCCGAUGCGCGUGCGUCACCGCGACGACGAGAGCGAAGCCAGCGGACGGGUCCGGCGACCGGCGCUGAGGUCAAGCCCACCCCAAGACGUGUGCCUGUCAGUGUGGACGCAGCAGCUCCCGCAUGUGCCGCUCGUUCUCGCGCCUCGCCAGUCAAUGCCAACCAGCCGGGUCAACCACUGCUGCUGCCAGUCGACUGCGAGUCCUUGCUGGGCUUUCACUGUUGCCGGGAUAAGACCCCGCUGAGAUUUGACUUGAUUGAUACUCCUACGAUGCUGCUGCCCAACCCAAGUCGGCUGGCAAGAGCCCAAAAAAUGUGCGGAUUGGGAUCGUACUGUGGUCCGUGGUGACCUUUUGUGGAAAGUGGGACCCUACAAGCAGCCUCGUUUGAAAAAGUCUCGUAGGAGGAAGAGUCCUAGACUGCGGUCCACCAAUCAACAUCCAGCAAAACCCAAGAAUAUUCAGACUAGCAGACAAAAGAAAGAGCUGCUGCAACUUUGCAUGGCGUGGUGCGUUGCAUACUUGCACACCACCGUUUGUCAACAGUACAGUUUUUCGACUUUUCGUUCGGCAUGGGCCUACGGUGUGUAAUCUACACGUUGUCAUGUUUGAAUACUGUUACGAUGCACUCAUCGAAAUCCGAAAACAAACUACUACUGCUUUUGUACUAAAAUAUGUAAUCUGCUUCUUCCAACUGCCCAAAGUCCAAAACAAUAUGCUAAAUGACUAAAGCACGUCCUAAGAAACUGAGCUGCGCGAGUGCAAGUAGCAGCAGCAGCAGAUGAACAAUGUGCCGCUACCAGUAAAGCCCGAGUUCUAAAACCCUGAGCCAUACGUGGAAAGCUCAGCGGCGGCGGUUCUCGCGCCAUUUCUUCGUUCAAGGCGUGCAGGAAAGCAUGCUGCUCCGUCCAUCAAGUGCCAAAGGUUAGUGAAAAAGCGUGCGUUCAGGUUUAAUUUGAGACUUCAACUGUCGUUUUGUUCUGUUCCUAGUUCUUACCGCCAAGAAGACCACACGCGCUAUGACCUGACCUGUGAGAUGUUUACAGUUGACGCCGUAUCCGUAUCCGUAGUCAAUUACAGUGACACGCAAGACCACCAGAGCUACCUACAUGAGGACGAUGUAAUUUUCUUCCUUGAGCGCAGGAUAUUUUCAAGGUCAAUGCUGCUGGGUAGUAACGUAGCCCACGAGGCCGCCCCGCUUAAUUGCCGCUCGUGGCCGUUGCGGCCGAGCUGCAAUAACCACGCGGAUUAAACAAUCUUCGCCUGCUAAGCCCACAAAACAAUAUUGCAUACCCGCGAAAACCCGCAAGGACCCACUUCAUGACAACGCCCAUCUCCUUUCUUUUGCUCGCCACGGUGCUGCCCGGCGCCGCCGGACGAUGGUCACCGGAGGGUGAGCAUAACGAGGAAGCCGAGGAACGUCGCCGCGCCGACGCCGGAUCAGCUGAAGACGAUAAGCUGUGCCAUGCACUCGCGCGACCGCCGGAGUUUAUCGUAGCUCCUCGGGACUACGCCGGAGCAGCAGAGCACGAUGACGCCGCCGCCUUCGCCGCCCUCUGCUUGCAGGCUCACCUCUCGCACGUGGCCACGCCGAUCGUCGCACGUGAUGGUGGUCUAGACGGCCACGACGCCAGCGCCGGCGCCGGCGCCGGUGCCGAGCACGAGAGCGUCGACGCGGAACGGGGCGCCCAGGAACCUGCCAGACGAUGCGCAACAUGAUGCAGGCUCCACCUCUCGUCGCCAUCGACCCUGCCAGCAACGCCUCCGAUGGCACCAACGUCCACCUCAAAGAGAGCCAGCAGGCCUUGUGACUAGCGCUGAUGAUUCUUUCGGACGCUCGCGGGGUUUGCGGACACAGCCACCAGGCCCACUAACCAAGCACACUAAUUCCCAUGCGGGUUAGCGGCUUCUCGUGAUUGAUUGAAAAUGCUUUGCGGGCUAACGCAUGUGGGUUGUGGCUGUCCACAACCCGCCCCGCCUGCAUCCCUACUGCUGGGCACUCGAUCACGGUCUCACCGGUUGGUCUCACGGGCUACCUCAACCAGUUAAGUCUGUCAAUUUUCACUGUCACAUUCAACCAGCUGGUAAAGCAGGUUUAUCCAGCAGGAAUAUUCAUCGUCAGUGAGCAUAAGAUAUGUGAAUGCACGGCAUGCGGCGUGCAUAUCUCUUUCACUCACGUCGCUGCACGCAAAGGCCUAGACGCGCGUGUGGCUGGUCGAGCCGCCGGGCAAUAUUCUACAAGUCAAGCAGAUUCCUUUUUCAUCACAUCAACGAGUGGCCCCGCCAGUAAUCGUACCUACCAGCAGCCACUAUUCUACUUACAAGUUAACCGAUGGAAUCGAUUGACAUGUGCAACACGGGUGUGCACAAUUAAGAUGGCCAGAUGGGCCUUAAUUACUACUACUAGUAGCAGUAGAUUAACACCAAACUACAGUGUAUAUUAUUCGAUCCUCGUCGUACUUAAUAUUUGCUUCACGUACCCUGCAAAUAGCAAAAUGUUUUCCUUUUCCCUUCAUUUCAUCCCAAUCUUAAGCAAGUGCAUUUCGUCGACCGAUAGUAGACACGUGCGACCUGUCUGUUUUUUUCCCCCCUGAAGUCCCUGAUCGGCUGAUCUCAUUAUCAAAUCACUGAAAUCAGAGAGGGGGGUCGCAUUCUCUUUUGCGGAUGGAGCACAAACUGGCGGGCUGUAUUCUUUGGUCAUUUACUCGUUCAGUUUCCAAACGCUAAUGCCGUCCGAGUCACGUGCAAUCAUGUGCGGAUUCUGGUCUACAUUCUUCCGAGAAUGACACCCAGUUUGCCCACACGCAGUCACGUGCAAAUAAAAAGGGCCGGAAUGGAUUCUAGGAAUUUGAGGCCACGAGCUUGGUGCCUGUAGUGAGUGGCUCACUGGCUCGUCAGCUAUCACCGUUUUCCACGGGUGCCCGCCCUCUCGCCUGUGAUUUGAUUUUGGAAUCCCAAGUGAUGGGCACUAGCGAUUUGUGGAUCGUGCCCGUCGCCCGUGCGCUGAGAUUGUGUGGGGGUAUGCAGGAAACGUGGCAAGCAGAGGCACCGAGAUGACUCGGAGCGAGGCGGACGUCCGCUUCAGUUUUGAUCAUACAGAGUUGCAGACCGGGCGAAAGUUGGAGUAGCGACGCAUUCUGUGAGGGUUCUGCUCGUGAGUCGUGAUACGGUAGCAGAGGUGCUGGCAAACUAGAUAAGAUAGUGUACAAAGAAAGGAAGGGGAGAGCAAAGUGAACUCAGAUCUCAAAUUGCAAAGCUGAAUGUUCAGAUCAGAGAUGUGAAGCGCAGCAGCUUGAGAAUUUCCGGUAAUGUAGCUGAAGAAAAAUACUGAGCUUAAGCUGUUUGAAAUGAUAGUUUAUGGCCCAUCGAUGUGCUGGGCCUGAGCGCCUUCACGCGCGCGCGAGAGGACCAAUCCCUUCAUGGGCUUUUGUCGGUCUAGAUCAGCCCAAAUCUUUCACGCUCAUGAUGGACUGGAUCACCACCUACAACACCGGAGGAAGAUGAAGCCCAAAAAUUCGUCACAUACAGGUGUACCCUGAACCGGACGGCCCGGGCGCGGCACGGCGGCAUCACAGGACCGUUGCGCGGCGGCCAGCUGCGGCAAAACAAAAAAAAGAGAUGCGUCUGCCGGGAGUCGAACCCGGGUCUAUUGCUUGGAAGGCAAUUAUCCUAACCGUUGGACUACAAACGCCUUGUUGAGGUAAAGGUUAAGAUUAAAAAUAAUAGAGAACAGACACAUGAGAGCAUGUAUAUUAGGCACCUUCUUUCCCUUUUCCUUUGAUAUGUUUUCAUUUCUGUACCUUUUUCCCCGACUCCCAGUGUUAAUUGAGAACCUCUAGAACACAAAGUCCCUGGACCCUAUGCUGUUAGUCAGCAAAGCUUUUAGGUCUCUGUUGACAGGGCUCAGCUUUUCUAUAGGUGGUCAACUUCAACAAGAAAAAGUCGGAAAGAAAGCAGCGUCAGAGUAACAUAAUCUCUGGAUGAUGUAGUAGCCAACCUAACCCAACAAUCAUCUCACGGUCUUCCAGAAAUCCGGAACUACUUUUAAGCGUUGACGUUCCAGAACAAAAAGCUCUUGAUUGCUGCAGAACGGCGCCUCCCCUCCCUCAACUGCCUCGGACUUGGAGACAGACACCUUGCACAUCACAGGGGCCAAUGCCACUACGAAGCUGAUGGUGCGACCAAUUGUAAGGUUGGCCGGUGUUGGAAACUGGAGAUCAAAAUAAAACAGAGGGAAUUGCUUGUUGGGCAGACGUUUUCAUGUGCUCACUGCUCAGUGAAUGGCUGCUGGAAAAGGCAGCUCGCCUGACUCUGACUCAGUGAUGACCGGGGAACAAACUACCGAACCUGCCCGUCGAAAAGAAACCAUUCCUGUCUGAAUAAACGACCCGUGUCUGGAGAUGCGCUGUCCAACGUCUCUGACUGAAGCUUCUCACGACAGGUACGUGUAGCCGGAACUGCCAUCUCGGCUCAUACCUCUGAAGUCAUGCUGAGUUGCUAGCUGCUCAAACAUCUUGUCUGAAACUUGAAGCAAGCGAAUGCUCCUCCUCAUCGAACAAGGACUGACCUGACUGUUCGGCUCAGAGGGGGACAGGAAACUAGAAAAGCAGCCAUCAAGCUGAUGCCAAUGUUGCGUGUCUCCUUCAGCCAGUUAUUGGUCAUUUCAGGCUCUCGACAGCGAGGCUUGAGCAACGGAAGCACGGACGGUCGAUCGGGGGCUCGGGGCAGGUCUACGCGCCAAUGCCUCGGCAUUGUGACGCUGGAAAUUUCACUGGUCCAGGUCUCAGAUUCAGCCACACGGUACUGAAUCCAAACUACUGGUGUAGCACAUAAAGUCGUGUAUUGUUCAUGUUCAAUGACCGUGCUUCUGCAUCGACAUUGCAGAUUUACAGUAUCUUCCACGACCAGUCAGAGAGUUUUAUUGCCCUGCUUUGACUCGAUAGUACAAUCUUCAGAAACACCUGCAGAUGCUGCAGCACGCGAGAUAAACGCACAGUUACAUUUACAUCCUGCAAAAGGUCUGCAGACACAGCAGCAAUGGAUCGAGUGCGUCAGAGAAGACGACCAGUCGCCAAUAGAUCCGCAGCUCUGCGUGCAAUAAGUGUGUCCACAUGGAUGGAUCGAGGUAAAGAAGACGGCGACUUAUUGCGAUCGCGAGAGCUAGCUUGAGCCCAUGAUCGCAGCUCGUCGGCAGGCAGGCACGCAGUACCCGCACUGUACCGCGAGAGAUCAUAACGCGAAGGCGACCCUACCGCGCGAUCGCGAAAGCUCAGAUCGAUUUGCCAUUUUGCUGCUGAAUGAUUGGUUUCCAUCACUCAUUUGGGCCAUGGUCCACGCCGCCCACCUUUCUGUCAAAGAUGAAUGUGCCCAGCGGCAAGAAGGAAAACAUCCGAUGCACAGGUAAAAGUGUGCGAUUUUCUGAUGCUGAUGCAGUCACUGGGUGGAUGGAUUAGUUGUUGAAUGGACUCGCACUUUUAUUUGACAGUGAUGAGUGAUAUACACAUGGGGUGACAAAUCACUGGGUGAUUCAUUCUUUGAUUCCUUCACAGCAACAAAAGAUGCAAGGAACAUGUGUGUUAGCUAGAGGUACAGUACUAGUAAGUGACAGCUAGUUCUUGUCGCCAAGGAUUACAGGCUCCAGAUGCCAUGGAAAAUACUCCUCAGCUUGCUCCCGCCAAGCUUCUUCACGAUCCGUUUGGCGUCCGGGACAUUAGUCUCCGCGAGCUUCUCGAGAUUCCUGCCAUGGAAACAUAACAAACAGAUCGUGAGAAUUUCUAGUGAGAUGAGAUGUGAUGAACAAAAACACAUAACGAUUAGUCAGUGAUUGACAGGUGGUGUCUGUACCUGACGUGCUCCGAGGACAUGAUCUUCCUCCGGCCGGAGCUGCUGUCCGUGAGGUGCAUCAGCGUCGACAGCAGCAACCGCUUCGCCGGCGUGGGCUUCUCCUCUUCGGGGCCCAGUAGCUGCAGCACCUGCGCCACGUUGCGGUCAUCCUGGACGAACCGCUUCCGGUUGCGGUGCACGGACACCAUGGCGCAGAGCGUGUCCGCCGCCAUCUCCCGCGCCUCCGGGGACUUGGCCGCGCGGAGGACGCUCACCAUCUCCGGCAUGAACCCAGCGUCCCCCAUCGCCUUCCUGAUCUCCUCGGACACCUGGCACAGGCGGUGCGCCGCCUUGAGGGCGCAAUGCUGCAGCGUGGUGUCGCCGUUGCGUAGCAGGGAGAGGACGCGGUCCAGGAACCCGGCGGCGAGGAGCCGGUCCGUGGAGGUCGGCGGCGAGAGACAGAUCGCGUCGAUGGCGCGGAGGGCGACCUCGCGCGCCUUCGAGGAGCGCGUCGGGGAGGACGGGUCGAGCGCGCGGACGAGGGACUCGACGGCGCCUUCCUGAAUGACGGCCUCCCUGGCGGAGCUGUCCCCGGAGGCGAUGGCGGCGAGGAGCUCCAUCGCCUGGAUCCGCGCCGCGUCGUCCGUGGCGGCGCCCUGCGAGAGCGACACGAGCGCCGGCACGGCGCCGGCGUCGGCCACCAUGUACUUCCUGAUCUCGUCCACGCCUGCGAGGCUCCGCAGCACCCGGCACGCCGCGCACACGAGCUCGCCGCCGCGCGCGCCGUGGUCCGUGCACACGUUGAGCAGCGCCGUGACGCCACCGUGCGCGGCGACGGCCCAGGCAUUAUCCGAGUUCUCGGUGAGCCUGCAGAGCACCCGCGCCGCGCGCUCCUUGGCCGCCGCGGUGCUGCCGGCGCCCGCGUCGAGGACCCGGACCACGGGGGCGAUGACGCCGCCGACGACCAGGUCGCCCCUGUGCGCGUCGGACCCGGCGAUCACCGAGACCGCCUCCAGGGCCUCCUCCUGGACGCGCGGGUCGGGGCACUCGAGCAGCGAGACAAGGACCCCGACGCCGUCCGGGACGUCGGAGGCCACGACGCGGACGCACUUCUCGUCGUCGCGCAGAGCCUCGCCGAGCGCGGCGGCGGCCUCCCUCCGCAUCUCGGCGCCGCCGGCCCGGAGCCUGGCGAAGAGGUCCCGCACGUAGAACCGCACGUCAUCGCGGGUGGCGCCGGCGCCGGGGCGUGGCACCACCAGCGCCCGCGCCCGCGUGAGCGCGCCCGACGCGUACACCUCGUCCAGCCGCGCCACGUGCGCGUCGAGCGCCGCCGCCAGGACGUCGAGGUCGCUGCGCAGCCGCAGCUUGCCGCCGCCGUAGUGCCGCCCCUGGCUGCGCGGCACCAGCUCCAGCGCCUCCCGGGCGGUCGCCGCGACGUCCCGCAGGAGGCUCGCGAACGCGUCGCACCUGUCCUCGCCGUUGUCGUCGUCGGCGCCGGUGACGGUGAUGUCGGCGAGGCCGGCGUGGAGGCGGUUGAGCCGGUCCCUGAUGAGCUGCCACUUGAGCGGGAACAGCGUGGCCGACAAGGAAGCGGAGACCAAGGAACUGAUGGCGUCCAGCGCCUCCGCAAGCAUCCCCUGCUCAUCCAGCUCCUCGUUCUGGCUCAACUCCGCCGCCGGCGCGGCCGCUUCUUCCUCCCCUGCUUCUCCCAUCCUCCUGUCCUGUCCAAGCUCACUGCCUCAGCAGCAUCGGUCAGCUCCUUCUCCGAAGAAGGCUCACAUGCACCUCUUCGAUUCUCGCCGAGCUUGCAUCGUGGUGGUGGUCGAGCGAGGACGAGAGGAGAGGUGGAAGGAAGCAGCGGUGCGUGGAGUGUGAUAACUGUAACUGCACGGUGGCGCUGAACUGGAAGAGACGGGCAGCUUUGGCGUCUUCCAGGUAGUUAAUGGAGGUGGAGGUGGAGGCGGGUGGGCCCGGCAGUGGGCGGUGGACCUACCGGCCGGGGCGCAGGCGCAGCACGAGCGCGCGACUGUUGAUGCAUGCGCUGGGCUUCUCGGGGAAACACGACGACGAGGCCCCGCCUGCCCUGGGGAUCGGCGAGCUUUGGUGCGGAGCGGCAAGCGCACGACGAGGGGAAUGGAAUAGCGGCACAAGUGACCAAGCCUGCCAGCGUCCACUGGCUACGGGUUUAGGAUCGCGUGACACGCUCAAAUGCUAGGCGCACAUAGAGGAGAAAUAUGGAACCCUCUCCAGCUCAAGUGUCAACCAUUUGAACAACACAAAUAUACAGUAUCUUGUUCUGUGCGGUGAAAGACGAAACUAUGCAAGCCGACACGACAACCUCCUCAUCAGUCUUGUAUUGUAUCUCUCACAAAUAUGGCUAUUUAUUUGGCCAUAGGCGGUGUACUGCUCAUUGAUAGCAAGGUACGUGACCUUGUCACCCUGAACGUCUAUGUGUGUGUGUGAAUCAGUGGUUGUGCCAAUAUAUUUAUUUCUUUUUCAUAAAAAAUAUGGACGCUGAUACUGCAUCUGAGUGCCACAUCAAGAGCUUUCAGGAUGGAUGUCAAUGCUCAUUCAUAUAGCUUGAUGUAUCCACUAUUCCACUAGAAUGGAACUCAUCUGUUACUAUUUGCACUAACAAACACCAUGACUCAAAUUCGGUCAAAUAAAUCAUUUAUUUUUAUAUGUAGUAAAACUUCUCACUGAUGGUUUGGAUGAUAUACUCCUUUUUGGUUCGAACAACUCAUUGUCCUAGAUAUAACAUAGAGAAUAAAAUAAUGAUACACUAGAAUUGAACUCAUUUCUUACUCUUUGCACUGACAAACACCACGACUCAAAUUCGGUUAAAUAAACCAUUCAUUUUUAUGUAGUAAAAUUUUUACUGAUGGUUUCAAUUUUUUAUGUAGUAUGCGAAUAUGGAUGGAUCAUGGAUGCCUAGCAUUAUCUACAUAGCACGCUCAAUACUCAUGCAUUCUCUAGGCUACAAAAUAUAUUAUUUUUAAUUAUUUUGAAACUAUUUGAAAAUAGUCAUUAUAAUUGAACCUAUUUAGAUUUGUAUCUAUGACUAUUGAUAUUAAUAUGGUUAAUGGUAUUAAUUUUAAUCAUAUGACUAAUGAUAUACAAUUUAACUUCAAAUUGCGCACAUUCAAUAAUUAAAAAUUGAAUCUAUUUAAAAUUUGCAAUAAUUAUCUUGAAACUAUUUUAGAAUGGUAUCUAUGAAUAAUAAAAAUAUUAAAUUGUAUAAACUAUUUAUUUCUAAUUUCAAUUAAUGUUGGCAAUGCUAUAUAUCCCAUGUUGUAUUUUUAUGACUUGUAAUAUGAUUGGUGUAAAUAAAUGUGUAGUUGUGAAAAUAGAAAAAAUAUGAAAUAUUAAUGGUAUAUUUUUAUUCAUCUAACUCAGUGUUUGGUUAACAUAUUAGCCCGGUUUUCAAUCAAAAUAUUAUUUUUUUAAUAAUUUAUUUAUAAUGGUUCUAAGAAAGUAUUAACUCAAUAUACAUGUUCAAACCAUUAUUAGUUUUUAUGUGUUUUUGUUCUUAAAUAUAAGUAUCCUUUGGUUUUUGAAAUGAAAAGAGAAUUUAUAAUUUGAGGUGCAGAUAGUCCAAUUUCUAUCUGUAUUAAAGAUUCAAGAGUAUCCUAAUUCAUUUUAAAAUAUGGAUACAAAAGUGGAAAGAGCAAUAUAUAACGGUAUCCUAUCUAAUUUCCAUCCCCGAAAAUCUCAACGUGGUGACCACUUUCCACGAACGAAACUCGCCACAGCUCGGACGCAUGAUUCAUCACGAGAUGCAACAUCGAGUUCUUAGCAUCGACCGAUGGCAUCAUGGCAAAGCGAACAAAGUCUGUCAAGUCAGUCCAGGCAUCUAGCAGCGCAGCCUGCAGCCGAGAAUCACGAAGCACUGCCGCACUGGCACUGAAGCAUCCACUCAACGCCGAAGAACGCGCGCGACUGGACAAGAGCGCAUGCACGGGAGCAAUUCCUGUGCGCCUGCCUCAUCGUGCCAUGCAUGCAAUCCUGCCAUGAAAACUACUACUCUAGAACUGCCAAUCUUCUCGUCGCCUAGGAAAGGGUCCAUUUCUAUCCACUUGCGCUUCGCUUCUACGCCGCUCAUGUGAGCCCUUCCUUAAUUUGGCUGCACCUGCACCUGCACCUCACGAGAGAGCCUCGCUUUAGCUGGUGUGGAUGUGAAGGAACAAAGGGCGAAAGGAGCACAGGAAAAGAUGCAUAAAAAGCUCUGCAUGGCAAGGAUCACACAAGGGUCUUGUUGCCCUCAUGGCAAGAAAAGGGCGCCCGCUUUCCUCUUUCUGGAGAUCCGCAGAAUACUUGGCGGUUGGUCAUGUGAGAGCGAGAGGCAAACGGCAUCGGCUACCUGCUCUGCUCAGCUACCGGUCUGUUACUGCAGUGUGAUCCGUGAUGCUGCAUUGCCGUGGUAAAGAACAGUGCAGGAUGGAAACAUGUGAUUCGUGAACAUUCCAUCAGGCAAACAGAGAUGAGAACAAUUUAGCAUGAUUUUGCCGUGUAUGGCUGCAUGCUGCAUCGGUACGUCCGUCGGAUUAUUGUCUCUGGAUGGAUUGUGACUUUGUGAGAGCCCAUGCCUGCAUGGGAGCUGGGGGCUCAGCACAUGUGGCUGGAACUGUGGAUGGAUAGCUGCGAGACUCUACCAAUAUCACUGAUAUGAAAUCAAUCAAUAAUGUUUCGGAAAAUGCAGCUGCAGUGGUCACGUAUGCAUGGCUGGAAUCGUCUACUGUUUGGAAUCAGUACCUAGCAGGAUAACAGACCAUCUCCUCCUUAGAAAAAAAAUGAAGGCAAAGUCUGUACAGAACUUUCACACAGAUUGUGGCUACCUGAUUGUAUGAGCCACCACUCAUCUCCUGUAGUUAGUUCUUCAGAAACCUUGGACCCAUCUCCUCAUAAUGCCAUUGUUCUCUGGACAAACUCAAUAAAUUGGUAAUACGAGAUCCUGGAAAAGGGACAGAUCUCUGAUCUGGACCCAUGAUUGCCCUUCAAGAUCAUCAUGGGUAGUGGCUCGCAAAGCGCUCCCAAAGUUUUGGUCCCAUGGAAAGUGGUUGUGGGUGACAAAGUACAUGUGCUAUAGCCCAUAGGAUGAUAUGGUAGUAAAAGCUUCGGUUUCCCCAUGGAGAGGAAAAGCCACCCCCACUUUCUUGAGAAGAAAAAAGUUUGUAAGCCAACAGCUAUCUUUUGCUGCAAUGUUUAUGCAUUGACUCAAAUCAUCGCAGCAGAUUUGGCCGCUGAUUGUCAAACCUAGCGCAUGCUGAUUCUCUAGGUGCUUUGAGUGGCUCAAGGAUUUUGUCAUGUCUCUGCAAGAAAUGUUUUUUAAUAAAAAAAGGAGAAAGAAAUGUUUCUGGAUGCAGUGAGUGCAGUUAAUACUGAAACAGACAUGAUUAUAAAGUACAAAAUCAAACUUGACAGUUAGUGGCAUAUGAUCCAAUCUAGUUCAUCAUUAGACUAGGUGAUCUCAAGAGUAGGUAAUUUAGACGGAAAGGCAUGUAAUCCAAAGUAGAACGAAGAUGUACCCAAUCUGAACCUUGCUUUUGCUUUGCUAUCCAAGAUCAUGCGGUGGAGUAGUUGCUUUUCGAGCUUUCAAGAGACAAGCCAGUGCUACAGAACAGUUGCUUGGGACAGUACUGUACUGGUGAAGUUUUAUCAAAAAAUAUUAUUGGAGAGCGUUCGCUACCUAAAAUUAGCCAACUGAAAGCAAAACACCACCAACCAUCAGUUUGACAUGCAUGCAUCCUUUAAUUAGUUGUCUUAAAUUGUCAUGCAGUUUGUGAUACAAUGAACCAUGUCUGAUAUUCUUCAAUGACAAACUAUUUUUUUUCACUAAUUUACUGCUAAAUUUUAGUAGUUUCUUGCAGCAGUGUUUGUUUACUACUGUUGACGCAGCCUGCCGGAUCAUGAAGCAGGAUUGUAGAACAGUCCAAGAUCCAGGUUAUAAAAAAUAAACUGUACUGAAUGUUUGGGAUCCAAGAUAUGUUACCGUAGAAUGUAAGCUGGAAACAAGUUUAGAAUCAUCAGUGGUUGGUCAUCUUACCGAUCCCUUCAGCACUCCAUAGAGAUUGAUGUGUUCAAUCAAGUGCUGGGGAAUAAAGAAGUGAUAUGUUUGGUAAAAGGAAAAUGAAUAAGUUGGAUAUACCCGAACCACUCCACAUGCUCUGCCGCAGUUCCGACACAAGACUGAAUUAAUAUGUAUGCAGUCGAGAAAGACAAAUGGUCGAAGGCAGGAACAAUUAUAGGGACUGGUGAAUAAAGAAUCUACAAAGAAAUAUUAAAUUAAAUUAUCUUUAAAAUGUUGCAUGCAAAUGUCGUAACCCUAAAAAAAAAAACAGACCAACAUAAGACAAACAAAAUAAAGUGCAGAUUCAUGAAGAGCGUAUCACAAUAAAACAGAUAAACAAGGACGCAACACACAACUGAAGAAACUUUCUGAAGAACUCCUGUGUGUGACACGACCCAACACCUGCAGGCAGAUCGAUGACACCUUUCUCAUGAACAAAUCACUGCCAAAGAUCACUGACAAAUUUGAUGAGACCGAUUAACUUAACAGCAAUAUUCAGAUCAAUUUCAUUGUAAACUCUGCAUAACUUGGUCCACAAUUGGUUCUGAAAAUGACACCGUAUCGUGACACGCCGUCUGCUGGUUCUAGUGGGCCACAGCUCUCUAUGAGCAUGACUCGGCCACGAUAUGCCAUUUCUUCACCAUUUUCAUAUCCAAAAAAGCUCCAAAUACUGUCUGUCCCAAGUUAUCUCAUCCAGAGUUUCAGUCAUGCAGCACCUCCUGAUUCUACCGGAGGUCUAGAGCACUUCCUUUGAGCAGUUGCUCUAGAGCAGUUCCUUUGAGCACAGCCUCGAUAUCCAGCCUGUACCAGGGCCCAACGACGGCGAAUUGGCAAACGGCCCAUCCCAAAACCUGUGGCGACAAUGUGCAUGCAAGCGCGACGAAAGUGUCGUCCAUGAGCCUCGAGCGUUCUACCGCCUUAUCCCGGGUUCCCAGCCAAGUGGAGCAGGGUCCUCCACGAUCUCUUCAGUGGCCGGCGUUGGACGCGGCGAAUUCUUUACACGCCGCCGCUAUCCGAGCCACGAACACCGAGGCACGUGCGCCCGGCGCGGCCACAUGUCGAGCAGCACGCGAUCGAACGCUCUUUUCCGUCGUUCCCAAUCCGGCCUCAAAUUCAAUUUGGCGCCCCAUUUGGUAAUGGCUAUAUAACGUGACGAGCCACCCGAAGCAUUCGCCGCAUCUCGCGCCCCGGCAUCUGCUCCGCUUCCUCUCGGCUAGCCGGCCACCGUGUCGUAGUCUCGUGGAGCGACAGAGCAAGGCGGCGGCGGCGGCGGCGGCGAGGAUGCUGGAGAGCCAGGCGGUGAUCGGGGACACGGACAUGCUGCAGGCGAUGCAGCAGGACGCGCUGCGGCUGGCCGGGAAGGCGCUGGACGACUUCGAGGCCGUCGACUCCACCGAGAUCGCCCGGUUCAUCAAGAAGGUCGGUCGGUCGGCCGGUCACCGUUCGUUGUUGCAGCGAACACUGAACGCCUUUUCAGAAUGGUGACAUGUUUCUUUGGUUUCUGAUGCUGACAUGUUUUUGCAGGAGUUCGACCGGUCGUACGGGCCCGGAUGGCAGUGCAUCGUGGGCACCGACUUCGGGUCCUUCGUGACGCACCACUCCGGCUGCUUCAUCUACUUCGGCAUCGGCAACCUGGCCAUCCUGCUGUUCAAUGGCGGCGCCGGCGGCGCUCCUCAGGGUGGCACGGCGGAGCAGGCGCGGCUCACGGCGCUGAAGGCUGCUGUCGAGGCGUGAGGGAUCGGAAUGGCGUAGGGUAUGCAGGAUGGAUUGGUCGAAGUUAUUAUGGUUCGUGUCAUGGUGUGGCUGUGUUCCUGCCACGUCGUUUCGUGCUUGCUUGCGAGUGAGAGUGGCCAGACUCGAGUGUAGCGAUCAAACUUGGAGGACUUUAAUUGGGUCUUGUUUUUAAUUGGGUCUUGUUUAGUUUCCCAAAAUCCCAACUUUGGUACUAUGCAAAAAGAAGAUUCCCCGUCACAUUAAACUUGCGGUACAUGCAUGAAGUACUAAAUGUAGACAAAAUCAAAAACUAAUUGUACAGUUUUGUUGUGUAGUCAAUGUUUGGACAAUAAUUCAUAAAUACAAACGAAACGCUACAGCACAGUGAUUUUGAUCGUUCAAAAUCGAGCAACUGAACAUGCCCUUGGUAAAAAACAUUGUUCUGGCGGAAGCAGGUCACACCGAAAGUGCGGAGUGGAACUUCACAUGCAUUUUCAUCAUUCUCACGUUUCUUCAGAAUCUUCAGAAUCAUUGUUCUCGCAGAAGCUGUGGGCUAUGGGCUACGGAUCAGUCCUUCGCUAUCCCUUCCUUUUCGUCCGUCUAUCCGGAAUUUUUUUAUUUUCAUAUUUUUUUCGAUUUUGCACAAAUAUAUAGUCAAAUCAAAAAUUUGCAAAAUGGGCUUAUACCGCCGGCUGAAACUGUACCGCCAUUUGAAACGGUACCGCCGGUUGAAACGGCGGUAUGGGCCUGGCGCCUCAACGGUCACCCAGCGGAUAAGCUCUGCGCGGCAUCCGAGGAAACUGGCCCUUACCGCCGGUCAAACAGCGGGGCUCGCCCACCGUAUAAGCCGCACCCACGCCCCUCCCCUCCCCCGCACCAGACUGCGCCAGACAGAGAGAGAACGCCAGAGAAAGAGAGGAAAUGAAAGAAGGGAAGAAAAAAAAGAAGGAGAGGAGAGGAGGAGGAGGGAAGAAGGGGGAAGGAAAUUCUUCCGUCGUUUCGAGGUAAAUUUUUUUAAUCUUGUAGUUUAGAUAGUAUAGUGUAGUGACUAAAUCUAGAUUUAGAAAUAUUAGUGGAUCUGAGAUUUAGAAAUAGCUAGUGAAUCUAAGACUUAGAAACAUUUAGCCGAAUUUAGAUAUAGUAAAAUGUAGCUUAGUUGGUUCAAUAAAUUUAGCUUAAACAGUAAAAUAGAUUUAGCUUCGGUGGUAUAGUAGAUUUAGCUUAGGUGGUAUAGUAGAUUUAGCUCAGGUAGUACAGUAGCUUUAUUUUAGAUCACAGUAAAUUUAAGAAAUAUUAGUGGAUCCGAGAUUUAGAAAUAUCUAGUGGAUUUGAGAUUUAUUUGUUGUGUAUAUUAGUUCUGGUACAUGUCUACGGUAAAUUUAGUUAGUAAGUUUGGUUUAGUGUUACAUAGUUAUUUGUUUAUUGAAUUGAAGUCGUCAUUGCAGUUAACUGACAUCAUUGUAGUCGUCAUUGUGGUACACUAAGCUUGGUUUAGUGUUACGUCGUUGUCUGGUCCCCUCUCUGUUUGGGCUGUUGCAGCGCCGGUUAUAUAGCGUGAACUCCCGCCGGUUCAUCCGGCGGUAAGGGUCCUUCCACCGUUUCAACCGGCGGGGGUUCCUCGAUCCGCGCGCACACUGCUUCGGCGGCAGCACUUAGGUGGUGAGGGCCUUACUACCAUUUCAACCGGCGGUAGGGCUCUCCCACCUGCUGAAACGGUGUCAGGGACCGGUGUAGGGGGUGUCAGGCCGUACCGCCGUUUCAGCCGGCCGUAUAAACCCAUUUUUGCAAAUUUUUUAUUCCACUAUAGAUUUUUGUAAAAUCGAAAAAAAUAUAAAAAUAAAAAAAUAUCUCCUCUCCGAGCAAAGCACAUGGGCCAAAACCUGACCUGGGAGACAACAGGAGAGAGAGAGAGAGACUUGUACAAGCGUUGGGCCCUGUCUCUGAACCAUAGGCCCAUGAACACACUGCUCUUUCCGUUCCAACUAGCCAGAAUGCCAGAUCACCUAACACCCUAUCAAGGGGUAAGCUUGCUACCUCAGUGACACGACCCGAUCUCACUUUUCUUCAACACUUUUUGCACACAUCGUUAUCACGUUUACAAAUCAUUUACUUGUCAAAAAUGCAAGAUGUCGUGCACGUAGACACUAGCGGAGUUAGGUGUAAACAAGACGUGUAGGGGUCCCUGUCCUGUUCCCACGAAAAUUAUGUCUUGAAAUGCUGCAAGAACAAUUGUAUCUGAAUACCUAAACAAACAAUUGUAUCUGAACCGGCUGCCGUCCAAAUCAUGUUUAUGGAAUGGGAGCAGUCUGUUCACGUGGCCCAUGACAGGGAGACAGGGAGAGUGCCUGAAUAACUAUCUGUCGCAUAUACGUGGGUCCUACUUGUCAGCGCCAUAGCCUCCUCUUCCUCUACCUUCGCCCGCUGCCGGUUCUCCUUUCCCUUCUUCCUCUUCCUCCACCGGCCUUAGAAAAGGGGUGGGAGAUCGUAGGUAGACCUUGACGGCAGAGGCAGGUUGUGAGGCGGCGCGGCGCGGUGACGGGUGGAUAGCCGGUAGGCUAGGGAUUGGCCGGGGCGAAGGUUGGAGGUGAGCUUCUCGGCGGAGCCGGAUUAGGGUGACGGAGGGUGGCGGCGGCAGAUGCGGUGGCUAGAGUUGCCGCAGACGGUGGAGGACAACAGCACGGGGGCGAGCGGAGGAGAGAGAGGGGCCGAGGAGAGAAGGCAGCGGGUUCGGCGGCGAGCCGCCGGAGCCAGGGAGGAAGGUGGUGCAGGGGCUGUUACUGAAAAUGUCGCCUUGAGUGACACGUAGCACCGCCCCAGUUAGGUUGCGACAAACGAUUUGAUGCCUGAACAACGUGCAGUCUGACGAAGCGCUGGAGACCAACAGAUUCGAGCAUUACAGCGAUAAGCAAGGUAUAAAUUUAGGUAACAGCAAAUCUAAAUAGUCCAGCAGGAAAUCCCAGGCAGCAGCACCUAAAACUUGCGACGAGAAAUGGACAGGCUGAGACGAUAUUCAGUCAGUGUGCACUGGCGCGUCACAUCACAUCAGCAUUGGCAUUGUUCUUGUGCUCUGAAUCUGAACUGAUUCGGCGAACCAACUUUAACCAACCAAGCCAACCACCAAACAGGCUACUGAUGCGAUCUAGGAAUCCAGAUCCAAACAGCAUUGCCAAGGCACUCGACCAUCCGCAACAAAAGCUUGGCGAUUCGAGCACAGUCCAGCCACUGAUGGCGUACACGCGUGAUGCAGCAGCACAGCGCGUACCAGUGGAGCAUAAUGGCCCAGCAGUUGCAACCUUGGCCACAAGGAAGAUGAAGAUGCCUGAGAAUCUUGCAAUGCCCAUCGAUACCACUCAGAAGUCACAGCAGCUCAUGAUUCUCAAUCUUUUGCGGUGAAUUUAAAAAAAGACCGGAACAACUGUAGGCUCUGAAUAAGUUAUCAUCAUCAUCAUGAUCUCAAAUAAGCAAAGCAAUCCGUUUGAGAAAAAAGGGAAAGCAGCAAAGCUUCUCACUCUCAGUAUCUCCUCAGCAUCCUAUAUGUACAUUGCGGCAAGCCAUCUAGAUAAACGCACUCAAGAACUCCAAAUCCACACGCCCGAUCAGCAAAAGUUUUGUUAAAAAAGCCCGUGAAACCAAGAAUUAAUCCCCAAGUAGAAAAAAGGACGUGGCGAAACGUGUGUGUGUCGCGUCCGGGGCAGUCGAUUCUGUCACCGGCACCGGGAGAUGUCGAUCUCGAUGAGGCUGUCCUCCUCCAGCAAGAUCUCGAUCAUCCCGUCCUCCCCCUCGCCCCCACCGCCGAUGACGCCGUCGUCGUCGCUGUCGCCGCCGACGCUGUCCGAGUCGGAGUCGGAGUCGAGGUCGGAAUCGGAGGCCCAGGACAGGCCCAUCUCCUCCGGCCGCCCCCACUCCGCCUCGAACUCCUCGUGGAUCACCUCCAGGGCGCGCCCCUUGGCCACCCACGACGCGAACUCGAGGGCCUCCGCCGGGAACACGAUCUCCCGCUCCGGCGGCGGCGGAGAAGGAGGUGGGGGAGGCGGCUGGAGAGGCGGGUGCGCGGCCUCGUGAAGCUGCUGCUGAGGCAGCUUCUCCUCCGGCUGCGUCGACGUAGGAGGAGGGUUGACGGGAGCGGGGGACGCCGGCGGCGCGGAGCCGAGGCGGAGGAGGGAGAGGAGGAGGAGCAGGGAGGAUAGCGAGGCGGGGGAGAGCACGAACAGCAGCAGCGGCCGGGGGAGGUAGAGCACGGCGAGGAGGGAUGCCGCGGCGGCGGCGGCGAGGAGCGGGUGGUGGUGGUGGGGCUGCCGCCGGUCGCCGCCGGCGGGGACCUCUUGCGCCGGCGGCGGCGGGGAAGGUGAGGUGGAGGGGGCGGAAGUGGCCAUUUAUGGCGGGAGGAGUGGAGCGGUUAAAGCGCCGGCACCCCGCCAAGCGCGGCGGUUUUUAUAUAGAAGGGGAAGCGGACAAGCAGAGGAGAUUUGCCGCAAAGCUCCGGCACGGUUUGGCAGAAGAGGGGAGAGGGAGGCAGAUGGAGUGAGUGACCGCGUCGAUGAACUACUGCUACGGCUUGGCAGCUCUUGCAAGUACACGCCAACGGGGGAGAGGACAGUCGGGUAGAAAGUCCAGGGCUCAGAACGUGAACGGCCAAACCGUGCCGCGUUAAAACUGGGAUGACUUUUAAGUGCUACUGCUUGGACAUCGGUAUUUUCUUUGGGUGAUUUUUCGAGCUGUAUAGAACAGCGUACAUUUACGAUUUUACGGUACGCGAAGAAGUGGUAUCGCUUAUUUAGGAAAUAACCAAUUGAAUGGUGUUAUUCCUCUGAUCACGUAUUUAAGCCCACCCAUGUUGAAGUCAAAAGUUCUUUUUAAUUAUGACUAUUAAUAUAUAAAGCGACUAGAAUUAAAUCAUAUUUGACUUGUAACCCUAGACCGUCAGCGUAUAUAAAGCGACCAGGGACACCCCCGAGGGUAACUCCCCUCAACCCAACAAACGUUAACUCUUUGCACCUGCGAUUAGCAAUAUAAUUCAUCAGAACACAGGACAUAGCGUAUUGCUCUUCGGAGGCUCGAACCUGUCUAAACCUUGCGUCCCUAUGUUACCAUUCGAGUUCUUGAUCUUACAAUCUUGCUCAUCUACAAAUCUACCACCUGAAUAACCUCUAGUGGAUUGCCGAUUAGGUUUAGACAAUUAGGUUCACUAACCAAAAAGUACUUUCAUAUAUGCAUUACUCCUUCCAUUUAGGACGUUCUAAUAUUAUUGAUAUCGCUAAAAGUGUUAGAUUGGAGAUGGUAACUUGAUAUCUCGAAGUGUUACUCCUUCCAUAGCUCGAAGUGUUUUAUGGAUUUGAUGUACAAUUCCUAGUUCCAUGGCCAAACAAGUUUUGAUACUUCGAAUUAGUACGGUUGUGGCACAGAUGGUACGAGUUUUACACCGUGAUGGUCUGAUUCUAAUUGUUACAAAAGCUAUGAUAAAAUUUUGGAACCGUAAUUGGCACAAUGGCACAAAUACGUUUCCUUUUUUGAAGGAAAUGGCGGGUGCAAUGCCAUGUCAUUUAAGUAAAAUUAGCAUAAAUGCCCGUGCAUUGCUACGGUUUCUUACCAACUUCCAAGUUGUCAUCCGCUAGCACCUAGUUCGCUUUCUUCACUUUCUAAUCUGGUUUAGAAUGUUUCAUAAUAUUUGUAUACAUCUCUGAUAAUAAUAAACGGACAACUCCUUUGAAUUCUGCAUGGCCUAUUUGAACGGUAGAAUCUCAAUUACAUAUGUAAUGUGUCCUACAUCUAGUUCAAACAUGCAUUAAAACUUCUGAUAAGAUUCAGUACUAAUGCAACUCAUGUCUUAGUUAUUAUGAACAUAAGAGAUUAUCCACAAAACUUUCAAGCUAUAAAAUGAAAAAAAUUAUAAGGCUAAACUAAAUGCUCAGUCCUUGAUUAUAAUAUACUCAACAAUUCAUGCCUGGUCCUGAUAGCCUGAUAUCCUGUCUAGUUGCUCCAAGAAACAUGAGCAAUCAACAUUAUCCUUCAGCAAUUUGCUCCUCAUAAUACAGUCAACAAUGACCAAAUGUUCUACAGACUCAGCCAAAUCAGCGUUGGAGGAUUCGACAUUUCUUCCCAGUCUUUUUUGCGGGACCCACAUCAGGCUGGCAAUCCAUGGCAACCACCGGCCAGCACCUUCCUGCCGCUAAACCCCUAGCAUCGCAUGGCCGCCGCACGACGGGGCGGGAAGAGGAGGGGCCGCCGCCCCUCAAGCUCACCGUGGCCAUGCCGCAACGACUUCGUCCAACCUCCCAACGCUGCUCCUCGAGCUCACCGUUGCCGUGGUGCCGCCCGCCUGAACCUUGUCCCCGACCUCUGCCGCCCCUCAAGCUCCCACUACGGCCCGUGCGUCUACAGUGCUGCCGUCAGCACGAGCUUCCCGCUGCAGCCCGCGCGUUUUGGUGCCGCGGCUCGCAGUCGUCACCGCUGGUGUUGGCCAUGGUGAACAUGACCGGGUUGACGGCAAAGAACAACACAAAUUGGGCUUCCUAAUGCCGAGCGUGAGCUCCCUGCAACCCAAACCGAGCUUCAAACACAAAGCUCGAACUCGUCGCUUCCCAAAUCGAUCUUUCGGAUGCCAAGCUUGAGCUUCCCGCUGCCUACGAGGAUGGACUAGAAGGGUGCGACUGCCGCCGCCCGCGGCGUCAGCGCGGGAAGAGGAAGGGGCAACCUCCCUUGACACUUGCACUCUACAGUCAUCGCGGCCAUGGCCUUGCGCCAUAGAUUUCUUGUAUCCCACGUCAGUAAGUUGAGGGAGGGGGAAUCGUCGCCAGUGCUUUUAGCCACCGUCACCUGCAGCGAUUUGCACCGGAAGCAAAGGUGUUGUCAGAAAGAGAAGGGGUAGGCUCGCCACCUGCUAGUUUUGCUUGGCUUGGGCUCACGAAGGGAGUGCGGGACGGAGAAAGAAAGAAGACGAUGAGAGAGAGAAAACGAAUUACGCCGGUUUAACUUCCAGAACUGCGGGUUUAUUAUGAAAAAAUUGAAGGAUUUUUUUGCAAAAUAACCACGACGGUUGAAAGAAACCGUACUUUAAUAUUAAGUAUAGAUAUAGAUAUAAGAAAAAUAAGUCUUGAAUAGAUUUGAUUACAUAAAUAAUAGUUAUAGUAGGAUUUUUUUUCUGUUUUUCUUGUGCCAUGUGUGCCCGUAGCAUUUCCGUCUCCACUGCCAAGAUCCAGGAAGACCUGUGCCGGUCAAACCGGCGUGGCCUUGUGCUGCGACCUCUUGGCAGCAGCGCAGUGAUGAAUGAUGAUGGCCGCCGCGCACACAGAACCGCAGGAAACGGCGCACCGGCACGGCUGGGCCGGUGGCUCUCCCUCGGUUCGGGCAGGCGAAACAAAGAAGUGGAAUACGGCGAUUCGAAACCAGACCAUCCGGGCAACCGGGGAGGCAGAGCCGCAGAGGCAAAGGCGGGCAAAAGCAGCGGCAUCCUCUGCUGCCUGCCGAUUGCCGGGGCGCCGAGACCAACAAAGCUGGCAAGCCAAAGCGGCAAAGCGUCCUCUGGCACGGCUCUCACUAGCGCAUGCGGCGUAGCAGCACGUAGUCACAGUGUCACAGUCGGAUACCUGCUCGCCGCCGGCAGGACGAGUUGCUGUCACCGCCACGUACCGCAAAACUCGCAAUCCUCUGCGCUGCCGUGCCACGGGAAAGCGCCCGGAGCAGUGGCAGGAUCGCUUGCACUCCAAGGCUUUGCCAGGAGGGACGCGGGGGACGGACGGCCUACAACGGAGGCAUGUUCUGAUCUUCGGGUUGGUUGCGCUGGGCUGGGGCAUGGUGCGGGGACUGUCCUGCCCGCGCCAGGUUACUUUUCCUCAACCGAUGCUUAGCUUCUUGGUUCUCGAAGAUGAGAGAUUUCCUGAACGGAGUUGGGGGGAUUCUUUGAGGAGUUUUUAGUUUCCGAAGCCCGGAUCGGAGAAAACGAAAUUCGAGAGAUCCUACGUUGUACUAGUCGUACCUGGUCCUAGGUUUCUGCCCUUCUGUCGUACACGUCCCUAGGCCAAAGUUGCAGUGCCAUACGAUGCGAUGCCGGAGCCCCAGAGAUCUGAGUUCUGAGUUCUGAGCGAAUGUCUCGGUAUGAUGUACUACAGUACUAGGAGGUACUCCGUAGGAGCAAAGCAGCCGGUACGUCGCUCUCGUGCAAGAAGGAACAGGCGGCUAGCACUGUGUGAUGUUGAUGGCGAUCGGGAUCCAAACAAACUGAAGCCGUCGCGUGUACUGCGUAGUGACGUUACCAGAUCACCACACUAUAUGAAGUACGAGCUCAUGAUCUGCCGACAUUUCUAGCUGGGACUCGCUGAACAACCACGGAGGGCGCACCGCGUAGUCCCAAGUCCCAACCCGGAACCUCCCAAGCAGCCCCCUGCAUAUGAAUGCGCAUGUUCAUACUUGCUACUGAUAAAAUUUUACUUCUGCAGCGACCACACAAGCUGCUGCCCGGCUGCCCCCCGUGAAAAAAACGUGACCCAUACAAAAUUGGGGGGUCCAACUCGCAAAAUCUAACCAACACGAGUGGCUUUUCAACGUUAUGAUAUGAUAAUCUUCAACAGUUCAACGUGCAAUCGGUGACGCCUUUUGCGUCCAAGAAAGGAGGAAUCUGGCUUAUUUUUUAAAAGAAAAAAAAAUUCUGCGGGCAUGGUUGGAGUCCGAUUGUCCAAAGAUAUGAACACGCUUUUGCAGGACGUCCUGCACCUAGAGAUUGCAAUCUGUCCCUUGUUCAUUUGAUGAUGCCGGUUGCCGGGGGCAGGGGAUUUCCCAUCCGCACGUGAACUGAUGGGCGAGGGCGCUAGGCUUCGGUGCGUCCGGGUCAAAAAGGUGCCAAGGGGGAAGCACAGCCCCUCCGUAACUGAUGAAGAGUACUGCGACGAUCCACUGUAAAAACUCCACUUUGAUUCAGUACCAAGUUAACCGGCCAACGGUGAGGUUGGAGUAGAAUAGUACUGAGCGUGAAGGUUAACCGGCCAACGGCAAAGAACGAGCCGUAGGUACGGGAAGUUGCUGAUGGAGUAGAGUACUUGCUAGAGCAACUGUAACUGAAGCUCGUCGAUCGAUCAAGUUGCUGAUGAAAAAGUGUACAGCCAAGGAUGCUGGAACAUUGCAUCUCGCAUGCAUGAGCAGCUAGGUUUCUCCAGCCAAGUACUACAGCAAACAAGUGUGAUGAAUCAGAAAUGAUUUCGGCAGCUCAACUUGCAGGUUUAAAUGAUUUCUAGUGACAGGCAGGCCAUGAAUCAGAAAAGACCGUAAAAUGCAGAACGAGUCUGAUGCUUCAACAGUAUGCCAGCGUUAAAAGUGUGGAACACGUGAAGGUUUACUCUAUCUGCAGUUCCGCACAGGCCAAAUACUCCGGCUGACCGGCAGCACCUGCCAUGUUUUGUUGUUUAUGAUGAAGAGUUUUGAGCCUUGCUUAGUUGCCAAAAUUGGGAGUGCCAAAAUUACUGUGACGGCACUGUAGCACACUGUAGCGUUUCGUUUGUAUUUGUGAAUUAUUGUCCAAACAUUGACUAAUUAGGCUCAAAAGAUUCAUCUCGCAAAGUACAACAAAACUGUGCAAUUAGUUUUUAAUUUCAUCUACAUUUAGUACUCCAUGCAUGUACCGCAAGUUUGAUAUGAUGUGGAAUCUUCUUUUUGCAUAGUGGCAAAGUUGGGAGUUAGGGGUGAAGUAAACAAGGGCUUGAACGCCAAACAAAUAUUUAUGACAAAAGCUCGACAGCCCCCAAGAAAAAAAGGGAGAUACUCAUACUACUGUAGUACUCAGCGUGAGCUCGUCAGUGACGGAAAAGAGAGACAGGGAGAGACCCGGCCGGGAUGGGACCGCGCAGGUGUUGGACCGCCGGGCGUUCUGCGAUCAACCGACGCCGGCUGCCGCGCUGCUGGCUUACUUUUUUGGCGCGCCAGCCACCGGCACCGUGGCCCGAUCCGGCCGGCGGGCCAAUAAUUCGUUGGUUCGGCGCGACGGCCGUCGUCAGGGAUCGACCACCCCCGGCCGGGUCCCCUCCGCCCACUACACGUGCCGCGGUGCCGGCCCGCGGCGACCAGUGCCGCUGCCGGCUGCUCCACGGCUGGCAGCCACGGAGGCGCGGAAGCUGGCACAGCUGCGUGAGGCGGCGCGCGUCCUGUCGCCGGCGUAAACGCGUGGGACGGCCAGGCCAAGCCUCUUGUGUCUUUCUGGGGCGGCUGCACCUGCCCUGCCGGUGAAGUGCUGUAGCAAUUGCGCGGCCAUUGCCGUGGUGGCACCGCUAGUAAAAGCGCCGUGCUCCACGCUUGGGUCCGGGCGGCUCAAAUGAUUGCACGAGCAACUGCUGAUCGAUUACAUUUGCCAGUUGCCAGCGAUCUCGUUUCCUUCCGGGUUCCAGGAACCAUCAAUGUGGACUGUGGAAUGGCGUCAAGAAGGUGGCACUGUGCUGCCUACCAUAAUACCAUUGCAUCUGCACAGUGCACUUGCACCGGGUUGGGGAGCUGCACUGCUUUUACGGAUUAGAGUAUGUUUGGGGUCGUUUUACACCGGAUGGUGGCUGCGUACUAGCGACAGCAAAUGGGUGUAAAAGAAUCGCAAAUGUUCAAACCAUAAUAAAAUCACGCUAGCGAACUAGUAGCCUCAUUCAGAACUCUGGAUUUUGGCCCAUGCUGUAGUGGGCGAGAGCCGAAAGCCACACCACCAACUCCAACAAACCGAACGAAAGAAAAAUCUGGACAGGCAGACUGCAGCUCUGAAGAAACAACACCACUGAUGCCGCACGCAGUUCUUCAGAGUUCAGAGAUAGUGCAAUCUCUGUGCACGCAUGAUUCACACAAUUGCAACAGAUAACACCAUCCAUAUUGAAGCAAAUAAAAGAGUUUAUCUUCUCGUGCACACUAGCAUACGGAGAUCAUACACUUACAGCAUACACAAAAGAGAAGAGAGAUCUCACAUAACUUUUACAAGGUACUUCUACAAAAAAAAAAAAAGAUAAAAACAUCGUCUGUGUUCUUCAAUCACAGCAUUGAAGAAACUCUCUCUAUAUAUAAGCUAGUACUAGUAACUCAUAUGAGUAUACUACUUACCACUACCUAAAAGUUUCUCUAUGACGUGGGCUACAAAAAGCACUGAACUUUGCAGCCUGACACUACUAGAUACACUGGCAAGCUGAAGUGGAAACUGAAAGCCUGUGAUGUCAUAUAUUUACAUCUAGACCUCGGAGAGCAAGGUUUCGAAUGACGCCGACAGGUUGAUGGCGAUGCUAUCCAGGUUCUUGUUCCGGAGGCGCGACCUUGCAACCCUGCGUUGCAUGGGCGCCCCGGGGCCAUCUUCAUCCUCGCCGUCCUCGUCGCCUCUAAAACCGGCCUUCGAGGACGGCGUCGCAAACUUGAAAUGCAGCUCUCGAGCAACAACUGUCUGCAAAGAAGGAAUUGAACAAGGCGAUGUUAGCCAACAAAGUGGACAAGAAACACAAUUUGGAAUCUGGAAUUAGGUGGUAGGGGUUCGAAGUGCGUACUGCUUCGUUGACUGGUUUCGACACGAGGAAGAGCUGCCUCAGAUCACUGUGGUUCACCUUGCACAAGACUUUAAUCUGCAAAAUCAGAAUUAAAUUGGGAUAAGCAAGGCAUACAGGACUGAAUCAGAAUGCGAGUAAUAAAAGAAAACAGAUCAGUGACAAGCAAUUACCAGGACGUCUUGAGGCAGCGAUUCAAGAAGGCUGACGGCGUCAUCCAUGUGGAACCGGACGCUGCGCUGCUUGCGCAGGGUGCGGACCGGAGAGUGAGGGCUCCUGGGGCCCGGAGUCGGUGACACGGCCACCCUCUUCCUCCCCAGGAUUCUCGUGCUGCUCCUGCAGUUCGAGAAGCUCAAGCUCGUGGCAAGAGACCCCUUCUUCGCGUCGCCCUGUCCAAUUGCCAUUUCCCCCCUUUGCCUGUUAAACCCUACUGCCCUUGGUCUUUGGUGAUAAAAAGAUCACUUAUCCAAUCGGAGAUCUCGUAAGGAAGAAUAUCUGCACGGGAUUAUGGAGAUAAGAAUCAUCAAGCUGAAAGAAAAAGAUUGGCGAAUUUCCUUUUAAAGACGAACCGAUUCCCUUCCAAAAUUUUAGAUCGGAAAUCCCGCGGGAGCUCUCGUUCAGCGAAAAAUCCCCGAUUCAAAUUGUCCCCAGCCACAAACCAAAACUACAGUCGAACACCACUAAGGCUCAGGCAACAGACCAGCCGCAAAAGCGAAACAGGAGCCGUUGCAUCAAACGCAAUCUAGAAAAGGCAGCAUGAUCACAAACCAAUCAGCUCUAAUCCAAUCCCCCGGCAGCGAAAGCUAGAAAAAGGCAGCAAAUCACAAUCCAAUCACCUCUAAUCCAAUCCUCCUCAGCGCAAGGAUGACAUACCACGCGAAACAGAACAAAGAAACAGAGGGCAGGAACACACUGCCAGAGCAAAGCCCGACGAGGAAGAAGAGACAAACAAGCACCGAAUCGAAACAGGAAUUCGAGAUCGGAGGAAGAGAUUACCUCUAGUUUCGCUCUCAAUCUCAAACUCCUCCUGCUCCCGAUAAUCGCACAACAACCUGUGGAUGUCUUCCCCUACUGCUAAGCAACCUAACCUGCGGCGAAUGCUGGAGGACCAGACCUGCGAGGUAAAUUUGGAAACAGCUGACCUCCCCCUUCCCCGGUUUUAUAGGAGGCCCCUCUAUUUGCUCCUACCCGGGGGAACCUGCCUACGAAGUAGAGAAAUCCUCCGCGCGGGGGCCUUUCUAGAAAAUUACGGCAACCACCAGAAUCCAAUGCUGCUUCGUGCGCAAGAUCUUUUUCACCUCCCGCGCCCACCCGCUAAUCCACGCUGCGCCGCUCACUGACACACGGGACCGGAUAAACAGGGUCCUACACGUCGGUCGAUGUGGGUCGGUGGAGGCGGCCGUGGAGGAGCGCGUGAUUUACGGGGUUACUUUUUUGAAAUCGAGGCGGGUUGGCGCUCAACCCGCGUGUGGUGCGGAGCGCGUGGGAUCGGACGGCGCGGGCUGGUGGUGGACGGGCUACGUGGCGCGAUCGCGUGGGUCUGGAACUAGCCGUUGGGGGGCGGGGGGUGGUGGGACGUGGCCCGGCGGCGGUGGGAGUGGGGACGGGGUUGGUGACGUGGUGGCUGACCGGCCGAGAUUGGAUCGCCACGCGAAAAAGAAACGACGGCCACGCGAGUAAGUCGGUGGAGGUCGGUCCGUCGCCGCCCACCGUCUGGUUUCUCGCCGCGUGGAUGUCGUGUCAAGCCCCUUGUUCUCCGGCGGUUUAAAAAUGUAGUUUGGGGACAGCUAGCGAGCGCGGCGCGGUAAUCCGGUAACAAAACGGCGGCCAAAGCGCGGCGCGGCAGAUGGCGUUGGAUUGGGACGCAAGUAUCCUCUGUCCACUGCUCGCUCAGCUGAGAAAUUUUAAUGUAUUUAAUUAAAAAAAAUUACUGUGCGCAUCCAUUUGCUUAAUGAGGAACUUCGCUGCGCGCGUCGUCUAUCCACCUGUUCGAUUAAUUAACGAGAGGGCUGGUGCGUUUAAUUCGAUUACGGCUGCCUGUAUAUAAGAAAAAAACGAUAAUCACUUGGUUGGUGGAAAAAGAGUGCGUUCCGAAAGAAACUGUGCUUCUGGAGUGUGUUCACGUUUACCUAGUUUUGAGACGCUGGUGCGGUUGAGUCAAACGAUUUGACCACGUCCGCGUUAGUGCGUUACCAACACGAGUCAAAGACAGAGCGAGGACGGCGUCAAAGGGCAACUAGCCGGCCGGCCGGCCGAGUGGUGGGGGUGGGGCGCACCUCCCACCUUCUUCGUAGGGCGGCUCUGUUCCAGCUCUUCCUCAACCAAUCCCCGUUUGGUUUCGUCUUGCACGCAGCGACUGGACCACACGUAGCGCCUCCCGCAGUGUCGCUCUAGGGCCGGCGCUGCCGUUACGCGCAGCCCAAGAAGCGACCAUCGGCUAUUCGGCUGUGCACCCACCAAAAAAAAAAUCGGGACGGGUCCGUGGGACUGUGGGAGAGCGUGCGCGAAAAAUCGCGAAGGCCACAGGAAGCAGCCCGCGUGCGCCGGCGCUGCCGCUGCCGCUGUGCGGCGCCGCGCCACGCCUCCGCGCUGCGAGCGCAUCGGCAUCGGGGACGCGUCCCAGCUGCGAGGAGGGGAUGUCGGGGAGCACGUCGUCCGGUAGCGCCGCCGCUACUACCGUCUCGAUGGACGCGCGCCCCGCGCGCGGCCUGGAGCCCUCCUGCAUCACCCCGGAAACAGCUCACGUGUUCCAGCACGAGCCCAGCCCAGCCACGUCCAUAUUUUUUUUUCCCGUAGUUGACUAGGCCUUUGCAAUUCCCAUGGCCUGAAGGGCCGAGACGACGUCCGUGUAAGCCCAUGUUGGCGGAGGUGUUGAUGGGCCGUAUAUAUACACGUUGAAAUCAAAAUUUAUUGGCUGUCAAAUCAUCUCAUCUGAACAGCCUUUGUGCGCUUGCUUUGCUCUCGUUCUGCGUGCAUGCAUGUCGACCAAGGAAAUUUUCGCUUCCGACUGACUAGGACAGCUAGAGAACCAUGGAGGGUUGCAGGAUCUGGACGCAAAUCGUGCUAUCCUCUAUUUGUAGCGUCACUGUACACUGUACAGGACAGUCCCCGAAUUCUCGAGCGAAACGGCCAUGCAUGUGCCCCUGGUACAGCGCCGGUUGCCGCCACGGCAUCGUAUUAACACCGCUUCAGUUCUUUGCUUCGAUUUUUCCUGUCCGGGGCCGCCAGGCGUGCUGAGUCAGGAGAGCAACCACCGCGCGAGCCGAGCAAACGGACAAACGAGCACUCGGAAAGCGGCCCGGCGCCGGUCAGAAGCAGACGAUUCUGUGCAAUUCCCUCCGUCUCCAGGAGUCCAGGGUAGCUGGAUAGGCCGGAUUGGCGAGACACACGACGCGGUGGGCAGGGGUGUGUGUGUGUGCGCGCGCGCCCCCCUCGUCGAAGGCCCCGUACACCGGGAUCACCGGGGGCUGAUGCCGCUGGAUGGCGAUAAGACGAGCAGCCGGCGAUGUUUGCUUCGGGUUCGAGUCAUGGCCAUUGCCCAAUCAUACUGCGAUAGGGUGCACGUACACGCGCAGGUUGAUCUGAUAAGGUAAACAUAAGAGUUGAGACAGGAAUCCAGGAGAGAGACGCUGCGGUCCUUUCGACGGGUCCCGUCGAAACUACAGUCGACAGACAGAGGUAAGGUCAUCCACAACAGUCCUAGCUAAUUGCUAGUCAGCACUAAAUAGCUAGCAGUCCAUGCAACUAUCUAUAUAGUGCUAGCUAUUUGUUAUUUUUAGUACUUUCAUGCACAGAGAGAGAAUGGAUGUGCUAGCGAUUUGGCGCAUCGUCGCGCAUGCGAGCUGAGCAACAAGCAAGUCGCCGGCUCAAAUAUUUUUACAUAUUCUCUUUCCUUCACAUAAGAUACAUGCUAAACUGUACACUCAAAUAGCUAACUGACUCAGCACCAUUACGGACGCCCUAAGAGCACAAGGCCCGCUGCUAGCCACAGGAAGCAGCCUCUGGGCUCUGUGGUCUGCGGCGCAUGGUGCCAUGUCAGCCAUGAUCACAUUCCAGCCGCGGCCAAUGAUCCUCCCGCGAUUUUCUAAUGCCAAUUAUAGAGAUCAGGCCUCGGAGCGCCGUACCCGUACCCGCUGCUUGCCGAGCCGGGCCCCGCCCGGCCGCCGCGACUCACGUCCGCGUCAGCGUCAUCCGCCAACGCGGCUGCGGCCGGCGCUCGCGUGGGAUAUUCCUCGGCGCGUCGGCCCGGCGCGGAUGCAUCCACCACCCGAGCUGGCCCCCCGCCCCGGCGGCGCGCCGAAACAAGAGCUGAGCCGGUAGCUCGCGUGUAGCCAAUCGGCGGGCGCCUCUGGCUUCAGGGAAGGGGGAGGGAAGCAAGAAGGGAGGGACCGUGCAUGUUGGCUGAGUUGGAGCUGACGCGCGCCGGUUGAUCUCGUCUCGUGAUCGCGUCCGGGGGAUCCGACAGGAUCCACGGCGCGGGCAUACGGAUAGAUGCGGGUACGUGACAGGCGGCAGAAAACCGGCGAGGGACGGAGGCAGCGGCAGCCGCUGGUUGGCUAGCUAGGCUGGUGUGAUGCGGUCGUCGUGCCGUGCGCAUCUGCCAUUGGGAUCGAUCGAGGCUUCCACGAACCAAGAACGUAUCCUGCGGUACCCGCGCUCCAUGUGCGUGCACGGCGCGACGUUUCCUUCCUUUUUUUUUUUGCCCAACUACUUGCCGGUAGACAACUUAUACUUACAAUGAUCAAGCUAAGUAGCAGUGCAAUUUUUCACAACCACCGAUUCUACAAUGAUCAAACGUUAUGUAUUCUCGAUCGACCACCGAUUUAUAUAUACAACGAUCAACUAUAAGUAUUUCCUCCGUAUCAAAUUAUAGGUUAUUUUUUAUCUCUAAUUUCAUAGUAUUUAUUUUAUACACCUAGAUAUAUAUUAUAUCUGGAUACAUAAGUAAAAGUAAUGAAUCUAGAAAUAUUAAAAUGAUCUACAAUUUGCUGUGAUCAAGCAUAUAUACCGUGUGUGUUACCGUUGAUCAAAGUAUGUGCUACGUAGCUUUCGCAGUGUCGUCCCAAACUAGACGCAAGGAGCGCGACAAGUCCAAAAUCCAGCUAUUCCCCGCCACGCUUCCAUGGAUCUCCGUACCAAUUAUGCAACCUUUUUGGCCCCACAAGGUAGUACACGUCACCGCCAACGAUACGGAGCGCGACUGGUUUAGCUUGCAUGGACCCGUCCCAUUCCAUGUGCCGUGGUGCACUGUUGGCGGUCGUAGCGUGCAGUCCCAGAGGACACAGGCGAGCAUCCACCAGAAGCGCGUCGAGCGGUAAGUGAACGCUAGAUUGGCAGGUAUCAUGCGCUAGCUGUUAGUUGCUGCUGCUGCUGGAUAAUUCUGUAAAAAUUUUUACCUCAUGGAGUAAAGCUGGUCGAUUGACACCUAAAACUGACAGGCUGUUCUUCGUUCAGACGAGAUCUCGAAAGCUAUAGCUAGCCCAGCUAAAACACCCACCCUGAACUUGUGAACUUUCCGUUUUCAAACACACACACCUCUAAAACAACCGUGGAUGGAUUAGCUACCGCAACAAAACAAACGAGGGGUGUUUGAUUCUUUAGUCCAGACUAAAUUUAUGUCACAUCGAAUAUUCAGAUGUUAAUUAGGAAAAUUAAACGUGACCUAAUUAUAAAACUAAUUAAUGGAGGCUAAUUCACGAAACGAAUCUAUUAAGCCUAAUUAAUUCAUCAUUAGCACAUGUUUACGGUAGCACCAUAUUAUCAAAUCAUGAACUAAUUAGGUUUAAUAGAUUCGUCUCGCAAAUUAGUCUCCAUCUGUGCAAUUGGUUUUAUAAUUAAUCUACGUUUAAUACUCCUAAUUAGUAUCAAACAUUCGAUGUGAUAGAAAUUUUAGGAGAUCCUAGAAAACCAAACACCCCCUGAAAUAUCCUGGGCACACCGGCAGAGCUCUGUGAGUCCAGGCCAAUCGAUGAGUCGGCUAGGGGAAUUGCGAGACAAAGCGCACGCAGUUGAUGACCUGGCAAACCGGCACGUGCGCGGCACGCAAUAAAAAAGUCGCAUGAUUAGGCGGAUGAUCUGGCGAUAAGCAUAGAAUAAACAGAGCACUACUGCUAGCGGUCGUCAAUGUUGUUUGCUGGUGAUCACGCAAGUGGGAUUAUAAAAUCAGAGUAAAUUGAUCGCGGCGCUCAUAUUAGAGUAAAUCAGAGUAUGUAGGAAAACACCAGGAUCAUACUCUGAAUCAAAUGGGAGCUGGAUGGACUAGGACAAGUUAAUGCGUAAAGUUUUAAAAUAAAUCCUAAUUACUCUUAAAUAGAUGAUAUUUAUAUAGACGGCCAGUCAAACUUUACAUACCUUCUGAAGACGGAGCAUGAGUCUCGUGUACAUACCACUACUCUAACCUUCUUUUGAAUUCGAAACUUGGGCACAAAUUCAAAUUGAUAGGAACAGGGGGGACAUCAAUUAAGUUCUAUAUAUGCUGUUCUCAAACUUUUUAUAUAUCUUAACGACUAAUGUCAUGCACGCAACAGAUAUUUAAAAACUGUAAUAUGAAAAAUAAAUCGGACGGUUUUCUCGUAGUUAUACUCUUUCACAACUAUAAUUGACAAAGAUGAGUGUUCUUAUGCUUGUAAUUUGUCAGAACGGCUACUAGGUCCGGGGGGCGCAUGUGCUUGUGGUGGUGCGCCGCAAUCUUCAGUUACCAGGACGCGGACCCAUAAAUGAUAAAAACCACUCCAGUGAUCCAGGGGGUUGUGUCCAGGCUGCAGCAACGUACAGACAGAACUGGCAACAGAAGGCGAAAUAGCACAUCCGACCCUGCCAGGUAGGAAAAUCACAGGCCAACACCCCUGAAGAGGCAAGCUGCGACGGCGCUUCCCAUAUAAAUACCCGCCUCCGGCAUCGUCUCCAACCCGCAACUCACGAGCAGCAAAAGAGCACAGGCAAAACCACGCAUACACACACUGCCGUGGCAAUGGCCGCCGACACGGACACCACCGCCCCGCUCCUGACGAGCCACAAGCCGCCCAAGGCGCCCACCAUCGAUGACACCAUCGAGAAUUACAUGGGCACCACCGGCGUGAUGCAGCUGUUCAAGGCCAUCCUGCUGGCAUUCGCCUGGGCCUUCGACGCGCAGCAGGUGUUCAUCUCCGUGUUCACGGACGCCGAACCGCAGUGGCACUGCACCGGAGCCUCGCCGUCCUGCUCGCCGGCGGCGCCCCCGGCCUCGCCGUGCUGGCUCCCGCCGGGCGCGUGGGCGUGGGACCGCCCCGCCGACUCGACGAUGGUCUCGGAGUGGGCGCUCAAGUGCGCCGGCCCGGCGCUCGUGUCGCUCCCGGCGUCGUCCUUCUUCGCCGGCUGCCUGGCCGGCGGGUUCCUGCUCACCACGCUCGCGGACUCGCUCCUGGGGCGCCGGAAGAUGCUGCUCACGUCCCUCGUGUCCAUGUCCGUCGCCGGCGUGCUCACCGCGUUCGCGCCGAACGUGUGGGCGUACGCCGCGCUGCGGUUCGUGUCCGGGUUCGGCCGGUCCAUGGUGGGCACGUGCACGCUGGUCCUGUCCACGGAGCUCGUCGGCAAGCGGUGGCGCGACACGGUGAGCGUGGCCGGCUUCUUCUUCUUCACCGUCGGGUUCCUGUCGCUCCCGGCGCUCGGCUUCGCGUUCCGGGAGGCGUCGUGGCGGAACAUGUACCUGUGGACGUCCGUGCCGUCGCUCUGCUACUCCGUCCUGCUCUACUUCCUCGCCCAGGAGUCGCCGCGGUGGCUGCUGGUGCGCGGGCGUAAGCAGGACGCCAUGGACACGCUGCAGCAGAUCGCGUCGCUCAAUGGCAACAGCAUCACGUCCAGCUUCUCCAUGCUGCACGCGUGCACCAUGCGCGCGGACGGCGGGGACGCCGGCGGCGGCGCCGGUGGCGCGUUCGCCACGAUGCGGGCGUUCUGGGAGCGGCCGUGGGCGCUCCGGAGGCUGGCGGCGAUCAUGACGACCAGCUUCGGCGUCGGCAUGGUCUACUACGGCAUGCCGCUCAACGUCGGCAGCCUGGGAACCAACCUGUACCUGAGCGUCACGUACAACGCGAUGGCCGAGCUGCCGUCGGCCGUCCUGUCGCUGGCAUUCAUCGGCAAGGUCAACCGGCGGACCACGGUGAUCGCGCUCACCGCGGCGGCGGGCGCCUUCAGCCUCAUGUGCGUCGCCAUCCCGGAGGGCUCGGCGGCGCGGAUGGCGUCCGAGCUGCUCUCCUUCUUCGCGACCAUCACGGCGUUCAACCUCAUCCUGAUCUACUCCAUCGAGCUGUUCCCGACGUCCGUGCGCAACUCGGCGGUGGGGCUGGUGCGGCAGGCGCUGGUGCUCGGCGGCGUGGCGGCGCCCGUGCUCGUGGCGCUCGGCCGGGAGCGGAGCUUCUAUUCCUUCGGCGUGUUCGGGCUCUGCAUCGGGUGCUUCGGGCUCUUCGCCGCCUGCCUACCGGAGACGAAGGGCCGGAGCAUGUCGGACACCAUGGAGGAGGAGGAGCACAAGCAGGAGGCCGCCGCAGCCACGUCUUGCACCGGCGGCGCAACCGACAUUGCCACGAAGGAUAACAGCGACGUCGUGUAGUGUGACGACGCUCGUGUUCGUUUCACGACGCGGCAAUAAUUGUUGCUCUGAUGACGAUAUUUCGGCGGCGAGGAUAGCUAGAUCUGCUCUGCAGGUCAAGCACCAAGCUGUCACCCCUGCCCCCGUCCAAUCGUGUAAAGCUUGCCGCCAAGUUGCUUGCAUAUAAAUUCUGUUUCAAAAACUCGUCAAGUCCGCAAGUUGAAGUCUUACCAAAGUAGCGCCCCGGCCCACAUCAUCCUCUCAAGCAGAUCUCGAUCGAUGCCUAUCGGUAGAGCACAUUCAAAUUCUAUCAACAAAUAUAAAGUAUUCUAUCCACACUAGGAGAACCCAAAUUAAUUCUCUAACAAAUACUCCAUUUGAAAUUACUAGUCAUUCCAACUUUUUUGGAAAGUCAAAACGUCUGAUCAAAUUCAUGCAAUAAAGUACUAAUAUUUAUGAUAUCAGAUAAGUACAAUUAAUUUUUUCAUUAAAUAUAUUCUCAUCGUAUAUAUUUAUUCGGUGACAUAAAUCUUGGUGACCCUCUCUAUAAUUUUAUUCUUUCCAAAAAAAGUUAGAAUGAUUUAUAAUUUUGAACGGAGGGAGUAUAAGGUAAGAAAUCUCAUUAAUCGUCCAGCAAACAUAUCGCUUGACUUGCAAACUUAUCGCAAAUUAAUAGUACUCCAAACCUAUCUAGCAAUCGCUUGACUUGCACCAACCAAACCUAUCUAGCAGCUUUAAUGAGGGCUACACGCGUCUUCUAUCUGGCUUAAACUUUUCAUCCGUGAACGGAGAGAGUAGAUCGACAAAGUCAAUAUAAAACUUCCACAUGAAGUUGCAGCUUUUAUAGAAACUGUAAAAUUGACAUAAUCUUUUAUAGAAACUUCCACAUGGGACCCAGGCCUUAUUUGUCCUCUACCUUAACAUUCUCUAGGAGCAGCAUGGUUUGCUUAAGGAUUAGGCACCCUACUAAAACGACUCUGCCCCUGCCAUUUCCUAGGCUUCCUUGGUUGCGGCACUUUCGUUUUUCGUUGCUCACCUUGGCACUUUUCCUUCCUGCUGCACUUAUUCGACGCCGUUGAGCCCACGCCGCUACCUAUGCCUUCUCCCUUAACUCCGACGAGUUUCUUCUCUGCGACCGUACUGUAGUCCGAUCUGUAUUCCUCAUCUUUGGAGGCUCGUUGUCACCGCCGGAUCCAUUGCUACAUUAACCCAUGCAUCUCCGACAGGUUGCUUCUUUGCCUCUCAGAGAAUUUUUUUUUGAUAAAGUCCUCUCAGAGAAUGUUAGAGGUCUCCACAACACUUGAAUGUCUUUUUAUUUAGUUUUUCCAAUUUUCUUGAAGUGCCAUGCCAAAAAAAAAUCACGAGUGACCCAGCACGUUAGGUUCGUCAUGGGACAGUAGAAAGAGAAACACGAGUGCAAAAGGGUAGUAGACUUCAAGAUCUAGAGGCUCCCCUCAGGGCCGGGAGAGAUAAUAGGCUCCCCCCAGGGCCGGGAGACAGCAAAAGGGUGUGAAUCAAUGCAAGUUUGUCCAUCCUACGCGGCUUCGCUAGAUGGGUACGAUCGGAUGAGCCAAAUAAAGCCAGAACUAUUUCUCCCAUUAGGGCAUUAUAGUCAUUUUGCAUGCAUGGUUUGAAUUUAAGUAAAUCAGCAAGCUAAAUAGUAUACCCAGAUGGCGGCAGUAGUUAGGAUAUGAUAUUUAUGAACUAGGUGGCAGUUACUUAUGCAUUUCGAAAUGAACGACGACUUUCAAGCAGGCCCUGGAUCAAUUCAGACUUGGUUUUGUAUUCAAAUUAUUUGAACUUUUUUUUCCUUUUCUACAUAUACAGCCCCUUUUUCGUGGUUUCAUUUUGAACUAUCUUCAUGGAUUAUUAUAUUGUCACGCAGUCAAGACUUGUGGUUUGCACUUUUACCUUUUAUAUGGCCCCACCAGUUUUCCUCUUCCGAAUGAGCUUAAGAACCUCAUAUCUUUGGACCAGUGUCCACGCGGACCACAUCACGGAGAGUAAGAGACUGCUUGAGUCUGAGAGGUACACAACGGUUGAAGGGGGUGUCAUUGGUCUCUAAUGCUCUCAGCUGUCAUCUAGUAUACAUGGAGCUGUCCCCGCGUUAUUUUAUGCUGCGGCUGACUCAGUGGUGACCGGUGAUGCCAAAGAAGUCGGUCGGGAUCCCCAAUGCCAAAGGAAUCGGUCGAGAAGCACAUUUCAAUCUGUUAUGGAUCAGCACAACAGCUCGCAUGACGAUGCUGCUGGCCCAACAGUACAAUAGGAAUGCGUGAUUAGCAUUCUAGCUAGUGCUAACUAGCCUAUCAUGCUUUAGCAGGUGCCCGGAACAUGGUGCUCUGCUCAUACAUGAUGCUUGUGCCGUGUGGUGGCAUUUUGCCAAAGUUCACAAUCGCAUCCUUUCUCCUGUGUUGCCAUGGUACCAUGUGGGUGUACAGGUGCUUGUGCCAUGAGGCAUCCGUCCCUUGACUUUUUCGCAUUGCAUUCAGCGUAUUUCUUCAGGCUUGCUUGCAAAGAAAAUACCUCGUCAGGGUGGUUUAUUUUUGCGGUGACGGUGAUCAAAUAAAGUUGUGUCGUAGAGAUCGGAAAAACCAGAAACAAGUACGAAAGGACAGAGGAGUUAGAUCAUCUUUUGGGCAAGAUGUACCCAAGAGGAAGCCGUCACAAGCCUACACCGCUUGUUUGGAGGAUAGAGCAUGUGAGGUUGUGGCCGUCGCUAUGCAAGAGAGAAGAAUGAAGAAUCGCCUACGUUUGUUGUCAUCAUUAGAAUUUUCAUAGCAAAUAGCCUCGUAUAUGGAAUAUAGCACUAAAGCUUAUUAGCGUUUAUUUCACAAGAAAUGACAUUUUUCUUCAAUCUCCUUUUUUCCGGCAAUAUCUAAAAUCUUAGAUGGUAUAGCAUCGGACGACUUAUAAUACAACGGCAUGCAAACCAUGGAUACUAGUAGACUAGCUGUCUAGCUAGGCAGGAACUUUGGACUCGGUUGUACUACCGACAUAUAUGCAUGACGAGCAUCAAGGUACCACAGCAGAUCUGGGAGUACAAUCAUGCACGCAUAAUAUCUCGAUGACGUGUGAUUGUGUGAAUGAUUAAACAAACCAUGAAGUGACAAAAACUGGUAGCCGCUUUUUGGGUCAGGGAUGACACAGCCUUCCAGAUCGACUGGGACCCUCCGCUGCCCUCUAUUCUGUCGCAUUGUCCGGACUGACCCUGUCUUGCGAACCCUGGCGUCGUCUGCCAUCCCAUCAAACGCACUACUGCCCUGUACAACUAUACGACCUGCACGAUCAGGUUUGGGCGUCCUGCGUCGCAACUUUUGUUCAGAAGCGUCGCUUAGCACACGGUCUCGCCGUCGCGGACGGUGCUGCCGGUCGGGCCGGGGCGCCAUUGUCAGCGGCGCGCGCACUUCGUUGCUCGGUCGAUCACGCGCCUGCAGUUUUGAUCGGUUCCAAGAGUUUUUCUUCUGAAGUCAAGAGUCGCUUUAUUCCACCACAAGUUAGCUUGAUCGCGAACUACCAAGCUAGCUAGUUACAGUGAUCAUGAGCACAAAAUUACAAGAGCAUGGAGCUCACCAAAUAUCAAACGAGGAAAAAAAAACAGGUAUAGAGCAGGUCCCAGACUUCUCUGAAGAAGAUUACUCCUGCUGGGCCUCGAUCAAGCCUGUUGGAUUUCAGUGCAUCCACCAGCGCAUUUGGGGAGGUUCCCAGAAACUCAGAGAGGGCGAUGUACAUGGGCCUGGGUUGAGUCAGCUUUCAGAUUACUCCAGUUGUGUUGCUCAUGGCUUGGGUUCCGAGCCAGGCAGCCAGCGUUCUUCGCCUCCCCGUUUGCGACGUUGUGUUCAACGGCGGCCCCCUACACGGGACCCACUUCACAGUAAAAAAAAAACUGAACUCCCAGCGACCCUCGCGCGAACAGAAGGAAAAAUUCGCACGGUGCGAGCCGCGCCACUGCCGGCCGGUGCCAUGGACGUUGCGGCGUCGACGUGGAGGGCUGCGCAAGUCCGGCGAGAGGUGAAAGGCGGAGCACAUUGGGGGAGAGCGCACCGCACCGAGCUGCGGCCGCCUCAUCGGAGCCGCCCUAAGGAUAGCCUUCCGCGCCGAGCCGUUGGAGCCGUCCUGGAUAUGACCUCCCACGCCAAGUCGCAGCUCCGCCUCGUCGGCCUUCAGGCGAGCAUCUGCCUCGACCUGUACAUCGAUCAUGUCAUGUGAUCAGCAACAGCCGAAGGUAAAUUAUCCGGAUCAUAAGAAAUUAAAAGUACAACAGCAGGAGCAUUCUUACCUCGGAACCUUCCCUUCGUAAAUUUGGAAUAAGGACAAUACCUCGCACAAGCAUCGCUUUCAGGAUUAGGAUUAUGGUAGUGAAAAAAAAAGGUGGAUGUAUUUUCUUUAACCAAUCGUUACUGUCUUAUCAAACGUCAUUUUCAAAUUGUUUGCACUGUUGUGUUCCUUAUAAUGAGAUAUACGAAAUAAGAUCCACAUUCUGUAUAACAACUCAUGUAUGAAACUAUACACACUAAGAGAUAAUUUUUAUAGAUACAUUGUAAUAGCUUAUGUGUAAGCAAUGUAUCAAGCUUAUAUAGAGAUUAUUAUAUAGCAACUUAUAUUAUUUCUACUUGUCGAGUAAUAAAUUUAUGUACAGAUAAAUGUACAAAGGACUAUAACAACUUGUUUGCAAGCAAUAUAGCACCUUAUGCAGUAUGUAUGGUAUUAACUUAUAUAAUGACGAUGUGGCAACUUACAUAGACUCUUCAGAUAACUAAGCAACAUGAGUGUAAAAUCUGUUUUUAGCAAUUUAUGUACAUAAUUUGUUAAGAGGUUUACACAUAAGUCGCUAUAUACUUAUCCAUAGGUAAAUAAUAUACAUUCGAUAUAAAUUACAAGUACAUAAAAAAUACUCCAAAACAUAUGCAUCAUGAGUCUUAUUUUGUAAAUUUUACUAUAAGAAAUGUACCGUGAAGACGGAAUUGAAAAUAGUCACUCUAUUAAAGAGUUAUCGCAAGAGACGAAACAAAAAUAAAAACGGAUGGGCUAUAGCAGGCCACCUCCAUCUUGCCAGAUCACAAUAGGCCGUAUAUGUCAUGAGCUUAGGUGCUGGUGCGACCCCGCACGCAAUAGUUAUUUACAAAGCUGAAUGCUCGAGAAGACAUGUGCUUCUAUGAUAGAGCAAGUCGUUCCACGUCAAAUGACGACGACGACCCAAGACAUGGCCUUGGUCCAACUCCGCAAGUUUUAUGGCCCCAGCCCACCAGACAAGCCACUUCAGUUGUCUUGCUCAGAUUUUAGAACGGCAGCUGCUUGGCGCGUGGCCCGACGCAGGAAGUUAUCUCUCGCUGCCUCGACCCUCUCGCGAGCAAGAAUUAAGAAUCGGUGUGGGCAAGAAACACACCCAAUUCUUGAUUCAAUGCUCUCUCCCUCUUCCUCCAGCGCGGGGUAAAUUUCCAGAUGGUUCGUGCGGCUGCAUAGCUGCAUAUGGUGCGGGAUAUACUGAAAGUGCAUUUGGCCCCCCUAAGUGGGUUUUGAUGUUGACGACAUGCAUAGUUAAGGGAGUAAUGAUUUUAUCAAGUAAUUCACAGGUUUAAAUCCUAAGAAGUGCAGAGGUGUAAGAAAAGAACCCCAAUUUGAUUGAAGAACGGUGUUGGAGCAUAAAACAAGACCUUUUUAUACUUUCUAUUUUUGAAAUUGAGUAUAGGAAUACCGUACUAUAAAGGGGGACACGGAUGGAUAGCUUGAAGAUGUCAAAGUGCUUGUUUGAGAUGCUAACCACCCAUGAGACACACCACUCACACACUUGCACAUUUAAUUUCUCAUAGUUUCUGUGAGUGUCGGAAGUUCUGACAUGGGAUCGGAAGAAAACUUCCGACAGGGGGUGCUCAGCGGAUUUAAUUUAACAGAGUCAGAAGUUCUGACCUUGUGUUGGAAGUUCUGAUAAAAGGCACCAGAAUUUUCCAGUAACUUCAGGCAAGGUUCCCAACCGUUUUCUUUGCACUGUGUCAGAAAUUCCAACGCAGUGUCGGAAGUUCCGACAAUGAAUUAACAGCAGUGCAACAGCUAGUUUUUGGGGCUCGGGUAUUUAUACCCCCUCAGCCCCCAUUCAUUUGCUGCUAACCUAACCUGAGACAAACACCCUCUUGAGCAUUCAAUACUCGUCCCCACUCCCUCCUUGAGCUAAAUCUUUAAGAGUUUUGAGCUAGGACUUGGUUGAGAGAAGGAUUGGAGGUGUGAGACUUGAGGCUUUGAGUGUGAGGUUCUACAAGUUCAUCUUAAGAGCACUUAAAGUAUCUUCGGUCUAUGAUUCAUGUUUGUUACUCUUGAAGCUUGCUUCUAGAUGGUUUGGCAUCACCCGUUUGAGCGCUCUCUUUGUGUGGUGCACCCGGGAAGUUUGUAUCACCCAUCCUCUUUCUGACGAUUCAUAGUAAGUGACUCAAUCAUCAUUUGUGGUUGAUUGAGAGAGGUAAAGGGUUAUUGAGGACCCGGCUCUUUGUGAGCUCCUCAACGGAGACGUAGCUUCCUUUGUGGAAGUGAACUUCAGUAAACAAAUCCUUUAUCUCGUGUGCUUGUUGUGUUCCUCUAGUUCUUAUUAACCUAGAAGCUUCUUUUGUGCCGAUCUAUAUAUUUGUGAAGUUCCUCUUAUAUAUAUCACCUGCAGUAGUCUCUAUUCAUCACUUCUAAUCUUUUGAUUCAAAUAGAAUUGGCAGAUUCAAGUUUUAUUUUGAGUUUCGUUCAGCUCAUUUCCUGUCGUCGGAAGUUCCGCCCCUGUACCGAAAAUUCCGACCCUAUCGGAAGUUUCGGCACAGUGUCGGAAGUUUCGACGUAUCUAAUACCGCUGCGAAGUUUUUUUUUGAAAAAUUUUAAAUUGAGCCUAUUCACCCCCUCUAGGCAUCAUAAGAUCCUUAAAUAUACCACUCCACUGGGACAACAAAACCACCAUCUCCUUGAGGGUCUGCCACCACAUCAUUUCUAACAUCGUUCGGAGGGUCCAUGCUGUCAAGGGUGCCAACGACGAGGCCAGACUCAUCCUUCGUGGUGCCUACAGUAACUAGUGGUGGAUAUAGGAUUUAGAAAUAGGUGUAUAUAAUAUCAUAUUUUCUUUCUAUAUACAUAUAUUAUUUCUAAUCAAACUUAUACAAUUUUUAAAUGAAAAUAAAGUUUUUUUUAACUAUUCAUCAAUAAACUAAUAGCCCUAAAAACAAAAAA